UUCAUGAUUAGUUUGCACUACUGCAAAAUUGGGUUGGGUUUAAAAGAAGAAGAAGAAGGGAGUUGGGAAUUGUGAUAUUCUCCAUGUUGUCCUGUAUUCGUCAUGCUUAAGCCAUCAGGUCUAGUUUGUUUCAAGUGGAUAGAUACAUGUUCUGGUUUGCAGUCUGAAUUCAUUAGAAUGGUUUGACCUUUUACAUAAUCGAUUUUGCUCAUAACAAGAUGGAUAAUGCUGUUUUCUUGAUUUUCUGGUUGAGUCUUAGUAGAUGUUCAGGUCGCAUUGGCUGCGUUUGUGACUGGAAAUUGUUGGAGUUCCGAAGCUUCAUGAGUUUAUUUCUCUUGCUGUGACCUGUUUUCAUUUGGUGUUUGGGUUGUGUUUAAUUUUUUGCCCUCUUUUCUGGUUCGCCAAUAAGCUGCAAAGUUACAGCAAGAAAAUUGUAAGAAAAUUUUCCAAACUUCGCACGGCCUUUCUGUCCUAUCAUUUUGGCUGUUUCUUUUCUUUUGGCUUAGAUGUUCCUUGUUGAAUCUGCUAAGGCUGGGCAGACCAUGUUUUGGGAUUAUGAUAAAAUUGAUUAUGUGAGUUGGGGAAUGAUGAAAUAACAACUUUGGUUAGAGUUUCUGUAGGAAUAGAAUCGUACGAGGUGAGCUACAAAUUUUGCAGCAGAAAUCUGAUCUUAUGACCCCUCUCUGCCCAGAUUUUCCUUCCCCUUGUAUGACAUGAGUUUGUAACACUGAAUGAGGGCCUGAAAAUUAGAUUGUGUUGCUAGCCAUUUGUCAUGUAAUGUUACGCAAAACUCUGGAAAUCAGAAUUGCAAGAAGUUGCGUCUAGUUUUCCUUGCACACAACAUUGAGCAGCUCCUGUUUAGUUUGAUGGCAUUCGAAUGUUAGAUGGUACUCCUGCUUAGUUUCUAGAUUGCAAAUGGUUGAUUUGGGGCAUAAGGUUCUGCCGCAACAAGCCCGAAUCUCUGGCUUGGUGUAGCAGCUCUUGCCUUUCUUUGGGGGUUCCUUUUUCUGCCGCAACGCAUUCUCCCCAUUUGGUCUUUCAUUUGAUUUAAAUUAUUUGUGUUCUGGUUCGGUUUGUGAUGAGUAAAGUGUUUAGCUGCCAAGAAUAUGGAGUGUUGUUUUUCACCAGUUCCUGAAGCUUUGCAUAAAAAUCUGCAUUUGAAAGCUUGAACUUGCAGAAAAAAUUCAAAUGAAUGUUGCAGAAUGGAGCUUUCUUACGUAACUUGCAUGCAUGUAGAAUAGCUUUCAAAAAUUGCACUCUAAACCUUUGGCUUCUAUCUAAUGCUUCUAUGGCCCAAUUAAUUGAAUAAUUUAAUAAUUUUGUCAUUCUAGAAUCUUGAUUGCUCUUGGCAUGCUUUGAUAUGAUUUUGGGUAAAACGUUUAGUGAGUUUAGAAUGAAUUCGUAGUUUUUAAUAAAUUUUCAUACACUUAUAGCUUUGAUUUGAAUUUUUAGUGGAAUGUUUGAAUUUUGUCAUUCAAUUGUAAGAUGGGGUUUUUAUUCAUUCCUUGUGAAUUUUAUCAUUUGAUUGGAGGUCUCACUUUAGGUCCUUAAUUUUAUUUUAUUUUAUUUUUGUAGUAAUAAUAAAUUGCUCUCUUGAAUGGGUCUUUGUUUGUUUCAAUUUGAUGAAUAGGGGUCGUUCACUUUCAUUUGAACGUUUUGUUUGAAUUUUCAUGUUAUUUCAUGUUUAUUUCCGUUUCAUAUAAUUUUGUUAAUUAAAGUGGUGCCUUGACAUUUUUUAUUAUUUUGGAGGGUGAAUUAGUAAUUUCACUUCGUUAGGGCAUCGAUUCAAGGGAGGUACACUCUAUCCCUUAUAUUUGCAUUUCAUUUGACCCUACGUGCUCCUACGUGUUAUGUGAAUAUGCAUGUCUAUUUCGCUUUCCUUGCCUUUCCUUAAUUCCUUGCAUUUAUUUCAUUUAUUUUUACUUUUAUUUAAGUUAUUCAUUAUGGGGUAUGUGUACACCUCUUGGCUUGUAAUAGAUAGGGCUUGGCGAGCAAUUUGGUCCAUUUUCCCCUUCCCCUUUUGUUUUAGUUAGCAAAUGUAAUAGAUUCAUUAGUUUGGUUGCAUGCCUAUGUGUUAUGUGUUAAGUGCUUUAUUAGGCUCUUGCAUCUAGUCGAGCAUGCUAAGUGUUAUGUGCUACGUGUUUAUAAGUGAUUCGCCUGUCUACUCGCUUUUUAUAGUCAUGAAUGAAUGUGAUGGAUGAAUGGACGUCACCACACUAGUCCAAUGCUAGUUGUGGCCCCCUUUCCCGUCACCACACUAGUCCAACGCUAGUUGUGGUUCAUUGUCCCGUUUUCCACUAGUCCAGCGCUAGUAGGAAAUUCUUAGAAAGGGCUAGUCCAACUCUAGACCCAAUAGGCCGUUCCCCUUUCGUUAGUGCAUAUUUGCAUGUUCACUACAUUUUCAUGCAUUUUUCUUAGUUUUUAUCAUUUGGCAUGCUCCUCGAAUCCCUUUUCCCCUCAUUUCAAGGUUUUUGCAUCUCAUGCUAGGUAUAGUGUACAUUUGCCUGAGAGUCCCCUUUCGACAAGGGAAACGAGCGAGUGUGGCUCCACAAAUAGCCUUAGCACGCUAGUUCCCCCCUUCUAAUCAAAGGGAAGAUUAAAUUCACAAAAUUAGGACUCCCCGUUCCCGUCUUGAUGCAUUGCUAUAGGAUUCAUGCAUUUCAUUUAUUCGCUAUCCUAUACACUUCUACCUUAUAUUCUAUCCCUUUUUUCACAUUCUCACUUCACACUACUUUUGGACGUUUUCACUUCACUCACACACAUGCACUUUAUGUUAUUUUCACAUUAUCAUUCUUUACUCACCUUACCUUGUAAAUACAUUUGCACACCUUCACUUACAUCCUAUUAUUUUUAUCACUUUUCUCACUUCACACAAACUCACAUUUUCACAUGGCAUGCAUUCCACUCAUUUUACGUCAUUUAGGAUUAUGUGUGACCUCUCCAAAGGAUCAUUAUUGGGCUUUACAAUUAAUGUGAUUGGCACCACUCAACCUUCGAAGAGAAAUUUCCCCCAUGUCCCCCUAGGUCUAGGUUUUUGCAUUCAUAUAGUCAUAUCCAACACGCGAUACAUACCUUGGGUAGAAAAAUUAGGAAAAGUUGGGUUAAGUCACGCAACUAGCCUUGGCUAGGGUGAGGGAGUGCCUUAGGCCUUGCCUUUGCCUUCUCCCUCAUCAAAUGUGACCCCCGAUCCCUCUUUUUGGUUACGUAGACCCAAAGGUUCUCUAAAAGGGUUUAUUUACUUUUUUCAUUCAAAAACAAAAAUCAUUUUUGGGUGACUUGGUACACCCUAACUCUAUACCAAGUGGCGACUCCAUUUUCAUUAAAAAACCCUUUUUUGAACUUUGUUUGGCCAAAUCGUCGCAUUCUUAAGUCCCAUGGCCUUUUACUUUUCAUUUCGCACACGUUCACAUGUAUAUCAUACACACUACUCACUCUCACACACACUCACACCACAUCAUCAAAAAGUGGGGCGCGACACUAUUAAGGUCUACAUUUAUCAUUGGGUACUCACAAGUCACAAACGAUUUUUUUUUUAUAUUUAAUUUCUUCUCAAUUUCUUUGGUUCUUGGCAUACUUUGCAUUUAGCCUUGGCAAUUCAAUUUUAAAGAAAAGCAAAUUAAUCUUUUAGCUCUAUAGAAAAACAACUUUCUAGUUUUUAUAUAUACUUAUACACAUGAGGAGUAUUUUUCUUUAAACUACUCCCUAACAUUCCCAAAAAUCUUUCACUUGCCAUAACCUUAUAGACGGCAACUGAAAAGAAUGAAUCUCUAUACCCAUUGUUGGAAUUUACAUAGAAGAACUGCAUUUCCACCAAGAUUUUUCACUAAUUCUAUCAAAGGUCAACGUAUUUAGAAUACAUAUCAUGUCACAUUUUUCUAAGAUGGAGUAGACACUAGUACUGGCAUAAACUAGCAAAUUUAGAUGCAGGAGAGAAGUAUAAAAUUUGAAUUUUAAAUUUAAAUCUAGAUUAAUUGCCAUGCAUAUAUAUAUAUAUAUAUAGAGAGAGAGAGAGAGAGAGAGUCAGUGUGUACAAAAUUAAUCUUUUACUGAUAAUUUUUAGGAUUAAUCUUCUAUAUACUGACAGUGUAUACACUUCACUAUUAGAUGUAUAACAUAUAAUUCGAAUUUGAAUUUGAAACUCAAAUUUUGCAUAUGUUUCUUAUAUUAAUAUCAUGCACACACACACACACACAUAUAGUCAGUGUGUGCAAAAUUAAUCUUUUACUGAUAAUUUUUAGUAUUAAUUUUCUAUAUACUGACAGUGUAUACACUUUCAUCAUUAGAUGCAUGACACACAAUCAAAAUUCAAAUUUAAAACUCAAAUUUUGCAUGUGUCGUAUAUCCAACCGUGAUAGUGUAUACACGUCAAUGUAUAUAAGAUUUAUUCUAAUUUUUAUUUGGUAAAUUAAACAAUGGAAAGCUACAAACACUAUAGCUAUCUUCCCGUUGGUGCUACCGUGAUUAGUCUCACUCGUUAUGAAUAUGAUAAUUUUGCAAUUGCUACGUGACUAGCAAUGCACUUGAAUAUUGCAAUAUGUUGUUUCCUUUACGGUUCAAAAACAGAUAUAUACCACAUCAAGCUGGUCGCUUAGACCUUUCUGCAAUGCUUUGUUAAUUUGCACAUUUACUAACUACUACCUUAAGAUGUUUCCACAAGCAACUAUGAGGAAGAAAUGGUCUAUUUCAUCUAUUUCUUAAGCAACUUGUUUCUGUAUGUAGAAUUUGUACAAGAUUAUAGACAUAACUUUUGGAUCAAGAAAUGCAUAAAUAUUCAAAAAAUUCAAAGAAGGUACUAUUUCUCUCAUUUCUUUUGCUUUAAUUCUUUUUUUCUUGGCAACCCCGUUUUAUUUGGUUAGACAUUACUACAAGAAACACGGUUUUAAUAAGUCAAAAGAUUUCGUUUAGUCCCUCACAUGUGAAAUUGAUACGAACGUCGCCAACCUUGUGAUGAAACCCGUAAGAGAUUGGACUCAGGAUUGACAAGAAGAUACCAAGUUUGGAGCGGAUGAUCUCAACCCGUUAAUCACGUGGUUAACAAACCUUGGUAUAGUGGUAGUAGACGCUACAAUCUAGUGCGAUUCUAGAUUGGUAAGUCACGAACACCUAGAGAAAUUCUAAGGUAUUCAAGAAACCUUGGAGAAACCAAGAAAACUCUCAAAUUUUUAUUGUAUUACUGAAUGAAUAAAACAUGACCCAAGGUAGGCUAUUUAUAAUCAUACAAAUAGAAGACCUAAAGUGCAAUGGAAAAGGCUAGACCUAAAGCGAAACGGAAAAGACUAAACGUGGCAAGGUUCCUAUAUUUUAGGAACCUAGAAUCGGCUCCUACAUUUUAGCAAGCAGGCCGAAUUAUUCUUUGAAGGGAAAUAACUAAACAAGACUUCAAAGUGACUAGAUAAACGGCUAAACAAACUACGCGAACUAUGAAGAGGUCAGGCGUGGUCUUCCUUGACUUGAACAACAUGGACAACCUUCAAUCCUUCAUACUCAAGUCCCUCAAUGGCCUUGGGGACAAUUUCUUGGCUUUGCACCUCACGAACAAGCCCUUGAAGUUCUUCUCGCAUCUUCUUAGUUCGAGCUCGCGUCACGGGUCUUAGAGGAACUCGAACUAUACUCAAUGGUGUCUCCUGAUUCGUAUCAUCCCCUUCCUCUGGAAAAGGAUUUGUCCUCAAAUCAGUUUCAUCGUCUGCAAGAAAGGGAGAGAGAUCAGAGACAUUGAACGUAGCGCUCACAUUGUACUCACCGGGAAGGUCCAACUUGUAAGCAUUGUCAUUGAUGCGUUUGAUAACUUGAAAUGGCCCAUCUCCUCGUGGGAGUAGUUUAUUGCGCCUUUGGACAGGGAACCUCUCCUUGCACAGAUGCAACCACACCCAAUCACCAGGCUUAAACACCACGCGUUGGCGACCCUUGUUAACCCGUUGAGCCACUUGAUCCAUCCUUCGCUCAAUGUUUCGGCGGACCUGUUCAUGCAAUUUCUUCACAAAAUCUGCUCGUUUAGCACCAUCUAAAUUAACUCGCUCAGAAGAAGGUAAGGGUGAUAAGUCUAGUGGUGUUAAAGGAUUAAAAUCAUAGACUAUUUCAAAUGGUGAAAAACGAGUAGAACUAUAUACCGUGCGAUUGUAUGCAAACUCAACAUGAGGUAAACACUCUUCUCAAAUUUUAAUAUUUUUUAAUGAUGGCACGUAAGAGUGUAGAUAAGUUGCGGUUGACGAUCUCAGUUUGGACAUCAGUUUGUGGGUGACUAGUAGUAGGAUAGAGCAAUUUAGUACCAAAUUUUUUCCACAAAGUUUUUCAAAAAUAACUCAAAAAUUUGACAUCCCUAUCAGAGACAAUUGUCCUAGGCGUGCCAUGCAAUCUAAUGAUUUCUUUGAAAAAUAAAUCCUCAAUGUGAGAUGCAUCAUCUGUUUUGUAACAUGGUAUAAAAUAUGCCAUUUUUUAAAAUCUAUCAACAAUAACAAAGAUGCUAUCAUUACCUCCCUUUGAUCUAAGUAACCCCAAAACGAAAUCCAUGAAAAUGUCGGUCCAAGAUUCUUUAGGUACAGGUAAAGGACUAUAGAGGCCAUAGGGUUGAAAUUUAUACUUAAUUUUGUGGCAAGUGAUGCACUUAACCACUAUUCAUUCCAUAUCUCGCUUCAUCCUUGGCCAAUGAAAGUGUUCUUGAAGGAUAGCUAGAGUUUUAGCCACGCCGAAAUGUUCCAUCAAGCCACCUCCGUGUGCUUCCCUAACAAGCAAAGAACGAAUAGAACAGUUAGGUAUACACAGUCGAUUGAGAUAGAAGAGAAAUCCAUCAAGGAUGUAAAAUUUACCUUGAUUUGCUGAACCGCAAGAAUCAUAAAUACCUGAGAAAUCCGGGUCAUUGGAGUACAACUCUUUAACUAACUCAAAUCUUAAUAACUUGGUAUCAAGUUGAGUAAGUAAGAGUGACGACAUGAUAAUGCAUUAGCAACAACAUUAGUUUUUCCCACUUUAUAUUUAAUCACAUAACGGAAUGUUUCAAUAAAUGCAAUCCACCUAACAUGACACUUAUUUAACUUGUGUUGUGAUUUAAUGUAUUUAAGCGAUUCAUAGUCAGUAUGUAUGACAAAUUCCCUUGGUCUCAAAUAAUGUUGCCAAGUCUCUAAAGCACGAAUCAAAGAGUACAACUCUUUAUCAUAGGUAGAAUAAUUCAAAGCUGCCCCAUUAAGUUUUUCACUAAAGUAUGCAAUUGGUUUGUUCUCUUGCAUUAAAACAGCUCCAAUACCCAUUCUGGAUGCAUCACACUCUAUUUCAAAUAUCUUAUCAAAACAUGGUAAUGCAAGUAGUGGUAUAUAGAGCUGUUAAACGAGCCGAGUCGAGCUCGAGCAUAGGACAAUCGAGCUCGACUCGAACCCCUAAUCGAGCUAGCUCGAGCUCGCUCGAUUACUAAUUCGAGCUUCACAAGGCGCUCGAGCUCGACUCGAUGUGGUGGUAAAAAACUCGAGCUCGGGCUCGAACUCGAGUUUGAAAUCGAGCCGAGCUCGAGCUCGCGAAAAACUCGAGCCAAGUUUUUUGAGCUCGAAGCUCGAGCUCGAGCUCGUUUACGGGAGACACCAUAUCAGACCCUGGCACACUAUUAUUGAACAAGUCCAAACCAUCAAAUUCAACAAUACAAGCUCGAGCCAAAUGACAAUACAAGCCAAAAACCAUCAAAUGGAGAAACAAAAUAUCCAAACUCGGAUUACAAUGUCCAAACCACAUCAGAUUACAACAUAUCAGUGACCAAAAUAUCCAAAACAGAUUAGAUAACAACAUUUCCAAACCAAAAUGUCCAAACCACAUCAGAUUACAAAUAUGUAGCAUUUCCUUCAUAUGAUCACAUGGGACUACCAAGAGCAAUUCAAUGAGUUUUCAGAAGCCAUCAUCUUCACUGCAAAAUGCAAAACAUGCAGCCCAACUACACUCUGCCAUCAGUUGGAAAGGAAUCAGGAAAAGAACAAAUCAUUCUUUUUCUUAUUUUGUUUCUGUUUUAGAAAUUAUACAACCAAAAAAUUGUAUUGAAAAUAUAACUGCAGAGGUCUGCCCAUGCACCCUAAGCAUUGUUAGUGAACAAUGUAUUGAAACGAAAAUCGAGCGAGGAAAAGAAAGGAACAAGUUUGGGCAUAGAAAGAUAACCUAGAUUCAGAACUAAACUAUCAAGAACUUUAGAUUCAAAUUCUAAAGUUUGGGCACAAAAUGGGAUCAGUUUGCAAGAAAUAGAUAGACUCCAAGAUUACCAAUAUCAAUAAUUUGUUUUUCAUUUUGUAACAAAACAUACUCAUUCAUCCCAAGUAAUUCAUCUUCAGCCCGCAAAGAUUGAAUCUUGAGCUGCAUUUGAUGUAUAAUCAGUAAUUGAAUUUUGAUAUUUUAAGCAGCAUAAAUCAAGUAAAAUGUUAGGAGUUUACCUCCCCUGUCAUGGGAAAAUAAUUUCCCAGCCCUCCCAAGUUUAAUUAAAAAAAAAAGGGAAUCACAUUACACCAUAAUCUUCAAAAGUACAAAGUCAUCAUCUAUUUUCAGGCUGGCAUUAAUCUUCCUGUGUCUGAGAUCUCUUUAAUUGCAUUUGAAAGGGAAAAGGGCCAAAACAAUAAAUCCAAAAAAAAAAAAAAACUGAACUGCUGGGUUAAUUUCUAGACCAGGAAAACCAAUUAAUUAUUACGUCUGCAAUCUAUGAACAGGAAAUUGCAAAAAUUGGAGAAGAAAUGGUUACUACUUACCAGAAUGCAGUGAAUCGGGGUAUGGUAGAGGCCCCUGGCUCUACCGAGGUGGCUCCGUACGGCGCUGCUCACGAAUACACGAGCAGUGACGGUGGCGAGAAUGGAGGGUGCUCCGUAUGGUGAGUCAGUGACGGUGGGUGCGGCUGCGGCUGCAACUGCGGCUGUGGAAGGGAAAAAGAGUUGACAGAAAUCAGAGGAAGCGCCUGGCCGUUGCUGCUGCGGCUGCGGCUGUGGAUGGCACCUGGCGGUUAGAAUGGCAGCUGCGGGGAUUGGGGUGCGGCUGCGGGGUGACGGCUAUGGGACGGGAAAACGAAGGACCAAAAGAGGAAAGGAAAAAUUAGGCCUACACGGCAGAUGACUUAGUCAGAGUACCACAAACACAUUGAAAUGACGAAAAUGCCUCUAUCUUUCGAGCCUAUCGAGCUUCUACGAGCCGAGCAAGCUCGGCUCGUGUUUUAAACGAGUAUUGAUUAGAACUCGAGCUCGGCUCGUUUCUCUCUGUAAACGAGCCGAGUCGAGCCCUUAUCGAGCCGGGUCGAGCUCGGCUCGCGAGCUGCCCGGUUCGAUUAACAGCUCUAGUGGUAUAUAUGUGAGUUGGUAUUUAAGCAUUUGAAAUACACGUUCUUGAGCAUCACCUGACACAAAUGUCUCAUUUUUCUUAAUUACAGCAGUUAAAGGUGCAGCAAUGGUACUAAAAUCUUUAACAAACCGUCUAUAAAAGCUGGCGAGACCAUGAAAGCUGCGUACCUCACCCACCGUGCUUGGAGUAGGCCAUUCUCAAAUGGCUUUGACUUUCUCUUCGUCCAUCUUGAUUCCCUAUUUAUUCACAACAAAACCUAGGAAAACAAGUUGAUCAGUACAAAAGGAGCACUUCUUAUAGUUAGCAUAGAGUUUUUCCCUUCGAUAUACAUCAAGAACAAGAUUUACAUGUUCAACAUGUUCAUCUAGGCUCCUACUAUAAAUCAAGAUGUCAUCAAAAUACACAACUACAAAUUUUCCUAAAAAUGGACGAAGUACAUGUUCAUCAACCUCAUGAAUGUUCUAAGUGUAUUAGUUAGACCAAAUGGCAUAACUAACCACUCGUAUAGGCCAUGUUUGGUUUUAAAGACUGUUUUUCAUUCGUCCCCCUCUUUCAUCUUAAUUUGAUGGUAUCCACUUUUUAAAUCAAUUUUUGUAAAGAUAACAGUGCCAUAUAGUUCAUCUAGCAUAUCAUCAAGUCUAGGAAUAGGGUGAUGAUAUUUUACUGUUAUUGCAUUCACAACCCUAUAAUCGGUGCACAUUCGCCAACUUCCAUCCCUUUUUGGCACCAAGAUAACGGGAAUCGUGCAUGGAUUCAAGCUUUCCCGUGCCCAUCCUUUUGUUAAAAGCUCAUCGAUUUGGCGUUGUAACUCCUUGGUUUCAUCCUGUCCCAUUUUGUAAGCUGUUUUAUUGGGAAGUGGGGCGCCUAGAACCAAGUUGAUUUGAUGCUCAAUUCCUCUUAUUGGUGGUAGUCCAUUUGGAAUCUCAUCGGGAAAAACAUCUUCAUAUUCCUGCAAGAGAGAGACAAUACUUGAUGGUAAAGUGUUAGUAAGAUCACUUGUAAUAACCAAUACCUCUUUGCACAAAAGUACAAAGACAGUUGUAUUAAUACUCAAGGCUUUCCUCACUAUAUUGGUUUUUAUCAGUAGGUUUUGCCUUCUCUUUUUUCUUUCCUCUUUGGCCGGCUCACCAUAUGUCUUUUUCCUCUUAAUUUUCUCGGCCUUAUCCUCUUCUUUCAAUCCUUGGCUUUCUCUUUCUUUUUCUUCUCAUUCUCGAGCUCAAUCUCCUUUAUCAGGCUUUCUUGAUCUUCACAGAUUUGACUAGGAGUUAGUGACACAAGGACAAUACUCCUUCAAGCAAUCCUCUUCUCGCCUUGCUUGAAGGACUAUUUGUUUGUAAUGCCAUCGAAUGUAACGCUUUUGUUAAAUUGCCACGGCCUCUUCAAUAAUAUGUGGCAUGCUUAAAUCGGCACCACGUCGUACUUUUCAAUUCGAAAAGGUACUUGGACUUGCUUGAUGACACGAAUAUCCCCACUAUCGUUCAACCAUUGCAAACGAUAAGGUGUUGGAUAUCGUAGAGUGGGUAGUGCUAGUUUCUCCACCAUCAAGGCACUAGCAACAUUAGCACAACUACCUCCAUCCAUGAUCAAGUUACAUACCUUGCCUUUGAUAUAGCAACGGGUAUAGAAAAUGUUCUCCCUUUGUGCAUGGUCGGCGGCCUUUACUUAAGUUGCUAAGGCUUGUCUAACAAUGAGUCCAACUCGCUCAUUGAUAGGCAAUGCUUCUUCUUCUUCCUCAAGUGAUGGUAUCUCCUCCUUUUCAUCCUCAUCAUCAGUGAGAAACUCACCAUUUGGCAAGAUGAUCAUAGUGCAUUGGUUUGAGCAUUGACUCAUUGACUAGCGAUGUGCCCUUGGUCUUAACACUUAAAACACUUGGUAUCUCGAUAUCAUCCCAUACUUGACUCAAUGGCAGUCCUUGGUGUUCCCUUCGACUCCCACUUAGUCAUAUCCGACCUUGGUCUUGAUGGGGGUAGAACUACUCGCCCCCUUUGUCUUCCUUCUUUGGCGGUGUAGUUCGAGGAUAAGAUGGUGAGAAAUUGGGGUAACUCCUAGUCUGACCCCUCCUCUUAAUCCUCCUCUCAAUUUUGAUGAAUUUCUCCACCAAGUCCCCAAACUCCACAUAGUGGUGUAACUCCACUUGUUCAGAGAUUUUGCACCUUAAUCUGUUCAACAAGCACGCCAUCGUCGCUUCUCGAUCCUCUGUAAUAUCCGCCCGCAACAUGAGUAUUUCCAUCUCCUUGUGAUAGUUUUUGACACUUCGAGCUCCUUGACAGAAAGUUUGAAACUUUUGGUACAAGUCACGGUAGUAGUAACUUGGUAUGGAACGCUUCCUCAUUAGUCACCUCAAUUCGGUCCAAGUUUGUAUGGCUGGUUCACCACUCCUCCUUCGACUAGUGGAGAUUUGAUCCCACCACACAACGGCGUAGUCGGUGAAUUCGACCACGGCCAACUUAACCUUUUGUUCCUUCGAGUAGGUAUUACAAUCGAAGACAAGUUCAAUCCACUUCUCCCACUCCAAAUAUACAUCGGGGUCCGAUCGUCCUUAAAAGAGAGAAAUUUUUAUUUUUUUGCCCAGAAUGUGGUCACUUGUUGGUCUAGUAUCUCGCUUGGACUUCCCUUACUUAUGUUCAUAGUCAUUGUCCGAAUUAGAGUCGCUAGACUCAUGCGCAUAAGCUUUUCCAUGGCUAUCCUUGGAAUUCCCUCGUGACAACUCUAAGCUAUCAAUGCGUUGGUGCAUCAACUUGAGUUUUUGGUCCAUCAUGCAUCCCAAUUCGCCUUUUAUUGCCUCUGUAAAAAGUUUAAAAUAAAAAACUUGAGAGCUCGCUCCUCCCUCGUUAGUCAUGGUGAAGUACAAGGUAUGAAUGUAAUAAUGAAGAGAAAGAAUUUAACUUGCACACUCCCUCAUGUGUAUGCUCUCGCUCUUGUGUUUAGUCGCUCUAAUGAUCUCACCAAUAUAUUUUCAAGGCUCAUUGGUCAACUCUUUGAAGAAGUUAGAACUUUCAACUUACCAACCAAGAUCACAAGAGUGUAGCAAUUGAAAAGAUCGAGACUCAAUGAACGAUUCAAAACUGAAUUUUCAAGAAGCCUAGACAAGACUCUAUCGAAGGGAUUGAUUCUUGUGUUGUUGGAAUGUUGGGUUCGUUGCUUUCUUUUUGUUUCGGGUAGGUUGUUUAUGGAGUUUAUGGUAUUUUGGGAUGCCCAAGUGGUGCGGUUUCCAGCCCUUGAAGGUCGGCUAGUUCGGUUUGCAAGUGGUGUUCCAACCGACUUAGGAGACAAGUCGCGGCUGUUUUAGGAGUGGCACUGUUUUUUUUUUCGGAAACAAGGGUUUAGGAUGGUUGUUUAGGCUGAUGUGGAAAGAUCAAGGUGUUUUAGGAAGGUUUGGAUUUGAUUUCUUGGUUUUCUUGGCUGACUUCAAUCCCAACAGUUUUAGGAUUAGAAGUGGAUCAAGAAUGGGACUUGUUUUUCCAAGGAGGGAACUAGAGCCGAUGCCUUCUCCUCUUUUUUUUUCCUUUUUUCAUUUCUUUUUUCUUCUUUGCGGCUCUCUAAUUUAUUUUUCAGGAACUCAGAUUUAGUCCCAACAAAUUGAAUUUUUGGAUCAAAGUUCAAGAUUGCCAAGAAAAUAGAAGUUUUCUUCCCAAGUUUUUCAAGAAACCCUUGAUGUGUAACCAAGAAUUACCAAAUCAGUUUUGGUUGAUCCAAGAUCUUCAAGAUUUUCGAUCAAGAAACUCAAGAACUACGCAAAUUAUGUUUUGGUAAUCAAGUUUUGCAAGAAACAACACUAAUAUUCAAGGUUUAAAGGCAAAACAGGUUCGCCAGCCCCCAAGAGGAAAAUUCCAGCAACUUGACUCGAGAAAAUGGUAUGCAACUCACUUUUUUUUUGACACUUUUGCUAGAUAGUUUGCACAACCAAAGCAACACAAUAAGCAUAACGAAUAGACUAUAAUGUGAAUGAAUAUUAGUAGCAAAGUAAUGACGAGAACUGGACAGAUUGCACACAAGACAAUAUACACGAUAAGGAACAAGAAAGAACCCUAGCGGCUGGAUUUUUUUUUGUUUUUUUCGUUUGUUUUCUGGAUAAAACAAGAAUGACUCCACUACUAACACAACUAGACACAAAUGAAUAAUGAACAAAUCUAGACAAAUUAAAGCAAAACACAAAACCAGAAUUUCGGCAAAGCACCAAAACAGAAUUUCGGAAACAUAGAAUGCAAAUAGAAUUUUCGGACUACUUGACUCGAAAAGGAAAAAAAUAGAGGGAUAUAACGUGAUACCUCUUAACUAGCUCUGAUUACCAACUGAUACGAACGUCGCCAACCUUGUGACCAAACCCGUAAGAGAUUAGAUUCAGGAUCGACAAGCAGAUACCAAGUUUGGACCGGAUGACCUCAUCCCAUUAAUCACAUGGUUAACGAACCUUAGUAUAGUGGUAGUAGACGCUACAAUCUAGUGCGAUUCUAGAUUGAUAAGUCACGAACACCUAGAAAAAUUUUAAGGUAUUCAAGAAGCCUUGGAGAAACCAAGAAAACUCUCAAAUUUUUAUUGUAUUAUUGAAUGAAUAAAACAUGACCCAAGAUAGGCUAUUUAUAAUCAUACAAAUAGAAGACCUAAAGUGCAAUGGAAAAGGCUAGACCUAAAGUGAAACGGAAAAGACUAAACGUGGCAAGGUUCCUAUAUUUUAGGAACCUAGAAUCGGCUCCUACAUUUUAGCAAGCUAGCCGAAUUAUUCUUUAAAGGGAAAUGACUAAACAAGACUCCAAAGUGAAUAAAUAAACAGCUAAACAACUACACGAACUAUGAAGAGGUCAGGCGUGGUCUUCCUUGACUUGAACAACAUGGACGACCUUCAAUCCUUCAUGCUCAAGUCCCUCAAUGGCCUUGGGGACAAUUUCUUGGCUUUGCACCUCAUGAACAAGCCCUUGAAGUUCCUCUCGCAUCUUCUUAGUUCGAGCUCGCGUCACGGGUCCUAGAGAAAUUCGAACUAUACUCAAUGGUGUCUCUUGGUUCGUAUCAGAAAUACAACCCCAGCCGUUUUAGUAUAUCAUUGCUUUUAACUAAAAAAAUUGCAUUAGGAGGAAAUUUUCGAGGAAAAUUGAAGGGGUAUAUUUGUUAGAUUCAUGAGUAAAGAAUUAUAUCCCACAUUGGUCCGAGAGAUAGAGAAAGAGCAGUUAAUAUGUAAGUAAGGGCCCAAGACUUAAUGGCUUAUGUGUUUGGGUCAGAGUUGGAUUCCUGACUUACAUAUUGGGCUCUUUGGUGGACUCUCUCGAGGUGUUUUUCCCUAUCAAAUUGGUAUCAGAGUUUCAGGUUGCGAGACUGGACUACUCAUGGGCAAAUGGAUUCUUUUCGGAGUUGGAUCGGUGAAAAUUCUCUUUUUGGUGGUGGACCAAGAUGCUAAGAAGUUUGGCUAGUGUUGGACCAGGUGCGCUAUGAGUUUUGUGAUACCCCUACUUCUCCCAAGGGCGAACCCGAGAGUGUCCGUGGGACGCCUGCCCAACUCUCGCCAAGAUUCGGUACAAUUUCAAUUCAAACUUAUGAACAACCAAUCCAUACUAAAAACCAAAGAUACAAAGGAAGGUCAAUUCCUUAAUAAUUGUUCCAGUCUUACAUCAUAAGUUACCAAAAUAUUGUACCAUUCCAAAAUAUAUAGCUUCCAAAAAUUAUCUAAAUGAAUACAUUCAAACUUCUAAUCAAAGGCCAUCAAGUUGACCUCUCCGUAAUUUCUUCCAUUUCAUCUCCUGUUAAAGAAAGCAAGUCUAACGGGGUGAGCGGAUGCUCGUGAGGCCAAGAAAAGAAAAAAAAAACAAGCAAGCAGGUAAUUCAAGUAACAAUAAAGCUGACAUGAGAGAUAAAGUAAUAACAUUCAAGUAAAUCCCGAAUAUUCACAAGACACACUCCAGAAGGGUACGGGAGCUCUUAGAAACUCACUUCCAUUUGUUUUACCAAAGUUUCAUCCAAUAGUCCGUAGAACUUUAUUUAUUCCAUGUAUGGCUCUGAGUCGAAUGAGAGGUACCUCCCACCCGAAUCGGUGUGAUACAUACUAUCGCUCAGUGAUCGAUUAUACGUUUAUGGUCCUGAGUCGAAUGAGAGGUACCUCUCACCCGAAUUGGUGUGGUACAUACUAUCGCUCAGUGGUCGAUGAGACAUCGCUCCAAUCGACUUAUGCUUUGCUCAUAGUUUUGAGUCGAAUGAGAGGUAUCUCCCACCCAAAUUAGUGUGGUACAUGCUAUCGCUCAGUGGUCGAUGAGACAUCGCUCCAAUUGACUUAGGCUUUGUCUAUGAUUCUGAGUCGACAUGAGAGGUAUCUCCCACCCGAAUUGGUGUGGUACAUGCUAUCGCUUAGAGAAUCGAUUUUAGCACUGAGACGGAAUGAGAGGCACCUCCCACCCAAAUUGGUGUGGUACAUGCUUCCGCUCAAGCCUCACAACUUAAACAUAUUCAUAUACAAUUACUAAUCAUAUGUAUUCAUGUAACAAGUAUUACGUAAUUAGAAGAGAGGGAACUAGAACGUCCCAAUGAGUAGGAUUGGUCGAGGAGACAACGCUCCAAUCGACGUCAAGUCAUGUACAAGUAUAGUUUCAAUCAUGAGUAAGUCGAGUACUAGUCAAGCAAAUCGGGUAACAAGUCAAGUAAGUAGAGUAACACGUCAAGUAAAGAGAGUGAGUGGAAUAAAGUACACACACUCGUCUCGACAAAUUAAAUUCAAUUAUUGAAUUAGAUACUUUUCAAGUAUUUAGGAACUAGUCAUGUACUUGACACUCACCGAUACAUGUACAAGCAAGAAAUGUCACUAGGAGCUUUUAGGCGUUCACUGUGGGGUUCUCUUGAAGGUUCUCGUGUAAGCUUUCUUAGAGAGCCAAGACAGAAAUUUCGAUCACUUUGAGCUGGAGAAAAACCGUGAGAGGUAGCUCCUUUCCUAACUUAUCUUGAUCACCAAGUGAUUUGAGUGUUGUGUGUAAAAUUUGGAAGUAAUAUGAGUAAGGAAUUGAGGAGAAAGAGUGGAGAAAUUUUCUGGUCUUGUUCUUCCUUUGUUGCUCGGCUGUUUGAGUGUAUGUUAGGAAGGAAAUUCUGAUGUUAUUAGCUUCUAAGGUAGGCUUAAAACUUGUGACUCAAAUUUGCUCAAAGUUGUCCACUAAAAUAAUGCACGUACACGUGCGUUUCGUGCUGGAUUCCUUUUGAGUUUAUUGCACUAGUGCACUAAACCUCUAAUGCACUUUCAUUCAUACAAUUAUUAUUUACUCUUAAUAGUCCAAAAAUAAAGGUCUAAAGUCCCUCAAUUAAUCGCGGGCGUAAAAACGCAUACUUCCAAUUUAUACACGAUAGAGCGAAAUCUCUAAGAAAUUCUUAUAACGGUAGUAUUACUAACUAAUAAUUGAGCACUUAAGCAUAAAAAUACCUAUUUUGAGACUAAUGUACAAGUCUCCAAUUUUUCAAGUUUUUUGUAUUCUCAAUUCAAUUAUUUACUCCAAUCGCGUAUUCACUAUUCUCACUUUACGAGCUUUCAAAAAUUAAAUUUUGAAACAAGUCACUUUAAAAGUAUAAUUAAUCUAUAGACACAUGUAAUUAGGUCUAAAUAGACUAGAAAAUAAUAUUCAGAGUAAAUGGGCAAUUAAAUAUUUAAAUAAGCUCGAAAUGGAAUUUAAAAUAAUAAAUUUUGCGAGUCCUCACAUGAGUCGAGUUUUAACUCCUCAAAUCUCAAAUUAACUUUUCUUAAUCUACUAUUGAUCAUUCUUACUUCUCCGAAAUUAAUAUACUCUCGAUUCAAAUAUAGUCUCGAAAAACGUCGAAAAACGUGUACUCGUUGUUCCGAAUUAAACGAAUUUUUGAAAAGUGAAUUUUCCAAUAAAACGCUUUAAAAACGUAAAAGAGGCGUUGUUCCAUAUCAAUGGAUUUUAAAUGAUCGAAAUGAAUAAUUCGAGAAAAAUGAGUAAAUAAAUAUUCAAGUAAACUAGUAAUAUUCGAUAAAAUAAGAAAAUUUUUGGGUUCUCACAGGUUUGGCAGGCGGUCCAGUUGGUGUAAGAUGGAGCCAAAGGUUAGCAGAGGUAUAAAAAUCUAAUUUGGAUGUUGAAGAAGAGUGGGUUCAUGUUUGGGAGGAGAGGUGACCUAAAUUCGGAUUUAACUAAGUUGCCACUUAUAACUAAAUUCGUUUGUUCAAAAAAAACUAAAUUCAAAUUUACCAAAAACAACGUCAAAAAAAAAAGAAAAAGGAAGAAACUUUAUUGGCAAUUUAAAAGCCAUGUUUUCGGGUGAAUAAAUGGCACUAGAUGGACAUUUAUUUAUGGCUUCCCUGGAAAAAGAAAGGCCAUCAUUUUGCUUCAUUUUUGAAGGGGAGGGAAAAUAUACCAAUACAUGAUAAAAAUAGUUACAAAGGAAUCGCUAAAAAUGGUCCUGCAUUGUAAAUCACAAUAUUAAUAUUUGCCUUCUUCACAAGAUUUUACUUUUAUAUGUGGAGUCCGUACUUUUACUCGGCCAAAAGCAACCAAAAGCAUGCAUGAUUAUUUCUCCAUCGAUUUGUAAAUAAACAGGGACUCAGUAAGACUAAUUUGACUAGAUUAUAACCUCUUUUUUUUUUGGAGAAUUGCUAUAAUAAUCCUUUACAUAUAUAAGUAAACAGUAUUAAUUCAGUCACUCAAAUCUAUAAAAAUUUUUGGUUCUUAAAAGAUACUGACUCGUAUUUCUAUCUUCAAAGAUCAUGCAAUAACUCAUCUUUCUAUCUUAAAAGAUCAUACAAAAUUUUUGAGGGAUUGAAAUAACAUAAUGAUUGAAAAUCAGAGUUCAGGGGAAGAAUGGAUUAGGUGAUACAGAAGAGAGUGCAAGUAAGAGAUCUCAAAUCUAUAAAAAAUUUUGGUUCUUAAAAGAUACUGACUCAUAUUUCUAUCUUCAAAGAUCAUGCAAUAACUCAUCUUUCUAUCUUAAAAGAUCAUACAAAAUUUUUGAGGGAUUGAAAUAACAUAAUGAUUGAAAAUGAGAGUUCAGGGAAGAAUGAAUUAGGUGAUACCGAAGAGAGUGCAAGUAAGAGAUCUCAAAUUUGAGACCUCCACUUGCACUUAAAAAAAAGAAGAAGAAAAAAAAGAGUUCAAGUUUUUGAGGAACUGAAAUAAUAACAGAAAGACCACAAAUGAGAAUUGAAAUGGACGAGGGUUUUGUAACCAUAGUUAGUUGUUCAUGAUAUACAUAGGGAUCAGGGGUAAGUGCGCUUAGAAUUUUAAUGCAAUUGUCCAACUGCUGUAUUUUUUGCAUAAUAUGGGUUCUCUUAUAUAAUUUUGUUGUUCUCACAAAAUUUAUUCUUAUACACUAAUGCAAUAUAUAAAUACAAUCGCAUCUUUAAAUGUACACAAAGUUGUGAAUGAAAUAUAACAACUGUACCUAAUUGUAUCUAACUCAACCAUACCUGUCCGAUUCCGUAUAGAUCAAACCAUGUUAUUUUGGUCCAGCAUGGAUUAAUAAGGUAAAAUCCUCAAGCAAAAAACAAAAGGUCUAAAUUACAUCAAUUCGGUCCAUUUGUGCCAUUAACCUUUUUUUUUGGUUUAUUGUCACCAUUUACACCUAUUUCUACUCCUAGUCCUACUCGAAUAUAGGGAUGUGACCCCAUAGGGUCAUCGAGAAUCGACGGGAACUAAACUAUCAUUGAAGAAACCACAUUAAGUGACAACUUUUUGAUGGAAAACAAGAUUUGAACCAUUAACCUCCCACUCCAAAAACUAUGGUGGCCAACUCCUUUAGAGGAGGUUGAUUCAUUUGUGCCAUUAACCGUUUCUAGCGAUUUGUGAGUUGAGACUUGAGACGGGUGUGAUUCCCCUGGCCUACCUGGUGAGAUAUAGGCAUAAGGACUAAUUUGACAUAUAUCCAUAUCAUGACAUGGAACAAAAUGCGUCCUUCUAAAUUUGAGGACUAAAUUAAGAACUUGAAGAACAAAAUUUUUUUGGCAGUUUCAGCAAUGUGUUUCUCUUCCUUCUUUUUAUCUUUUUUUUUCAUUUUUUUCUAAACAAUGAAGUACAUAAGGUGGGAUAACAACACACAAGGAACAAUUUUACCAAUUUUUUUGUAUACCUUAUGUCCGGUAAAAAAUCUAACAAAAAAUUACCAGAAGAGAGCGAUUUUUUAUAUUGUUUGUUUUCUGGUAAUGCAUUUUCUCUAGUAUUUUCCCUUAUCAUUUAAUUAUUAUGUCUCCUUUAAUGGCUGCUUUAGAACUGUUUUCUCAAUGGCAAAACAAAGGAUCGCUCUGUUUUGAAACUCUACGUAUUCCAACAAUUCAAAAACAGUAAGCUAUGAAUUGUAUAAUUUUUUUUUGAAAAGCUCCAAUUCUAAGCACAUCAAUUCUUGUAUCAUGACAAAAAUGAUUGUUUAAGGCAAUUAUGAAUCUUGAACAUUUGAAGUUUACAUCCUUUGACAAAAAUGCUAGCGAGAUUUUUAAAUUUUCUGCCACAAAGAGUAUCAGCACAUCAUACACAAAUGUAGUUAGCACAGCUCCUAGAACAUGCACACAUACAAGGAUGUAUGUGAAAAAGUGAUUGCUGACCAAUGAUCAAUGAAUAGGGAAAAAUCACUGAAUUGAAAGCAUCUAAAUCUAGAUGCAUACACAACAACCAGUCAUAAGUGAUAACCACAAGUGUUGGUCUGUCCUGCGUUCAGCAGAUAGACUUGGCCUUGGGGCUUUGGGACCCAAAACAACCAAUUUCUUGAUGAAAUUCCAUUUUUUUUUCUUUUUUAAUUUCCCCUGAGACAAGAAUAUGUAGCAGAUGCUCUAAUUUAUUACACUUUUUCCUUUCUUUGCUCCGUGCACAAUUUCCAUUAGCGACUGCUGAAUAUAUAAAGGACAAAAACGUGCAUAAACCUUUCAUUCUUCUAGGCUAGUAAUUCUACAUCUGCUUUGUACCCAUCAUUAUCAAUGGCCUAUAAGCAUGGCCUUCUACGAUCUAUAACUUGCAAGACUUGUGAAAGGAAUGAAAAUCAAUGCAAGGAUGUGGAGAUAACAUACAUUUUGAUUGUAGUCCUACCUAGCGAGCUUAAUGUGCUUAUAGAUGUACUCAGGUCUUCAUCACAGGUUAUCCGUAUCCGAUCAUUAUCUUCAUCCUGAUACUCAAUUUUAAAACUUCCCACUGCUAGAUUCAGUCGCUGUGCUACCUUCUCCUCCAAAUGGAUUUUAUGGGCAGAAAAUGGAAGUCUAAACUUUAUCAUGCACCCUUGAUAUUCUGCCUUCACCCACAUGCCAUUAUCAUCUUCUAGCCUUGUUGCAUCUGACCGGUGGUGUUCACGAGUAUCUUCAGUAGAAGGUUGAACAAUUUUCUGUACAGCAAAUGCUUGAUUAACCUUUCUUGCUUUACGAGGGGGCCAUCUGCGAAUACUAUACUCCCUACAUAUACGCUUCAAUGUAGAUCGACUAACUGCAGAUUUCAGAAAGGAAAACGUCAGUUAAGGAAAAAGCCUUCACAACAUGUAAACUAGAUCUUUCCAACCAGAUCCAGAUGCAAAUCAACAUGCAUUAACCAACAUUUGAAUUCAAUUCUAUUCCAGAGAAUUGCUACAAUUAAGAAUUACCUCCAAUAUUUUUUGCAGCAUCUUCAAGUUUUCUCGUAGAAUUUUGUUCAAGAACCUCAAGAGUAAUUCCAAGUUCACUUUUUAAAGUACAACUAGGCUCUUGCAUUUUUAAAUUAGUCACUUCACUGUCCCUCUGUUCUAUACUAGCACCAUCUCUUUGAGGAUCUUCCACAAUUGGUUCAUCAUGUGCUAUGCUGACCAUGUUUUGCAUGAGACCCUGUCCAGUUGAAGAUCUAACAACUCCAUUUUGCUGUUCAUAAAUACCAUUCAUAGAAUUUUGUGCAACAUAAAAUCCUGCAAGAUUUAAUUCUUGAUAUGAUAUGUUGACAAAGCCCUGCUCGUGUUCUGGUCUAGGUGGAGAUCCAACAAUCCCACUCUGCUGUGCAUGGACACCAUUUAUAGAAGCAUUUGCAGCAUCAACUUGCAUCAUUCCUUCUCCUCCUUGUGCUUUUGCAAGCCGAGGUGUAGAUCCAACACUUCCGUUCUGCUGUUCUUGGAUACCAUUCAUAGAACCAUUUGCAGCAUCAACUUGUUUAGAUGAGAAAUCAAGUUGCAUCAUUCCUUCUACUCCUUGUACUUCUCUAAGCCUAGGUGUAGAUUCGAUACCAGUAGUACUACAGAAUUCAAAAGAAUCAAAUUUAUCCUCUGGAGAGACCUUUAUAACCUCAAUGGUCAAUUUCUGCCCCAAUUCUUGUUCUGAAGCAAUCUUAAAAGAACUUCUGAGGUGAUUUUUCAAUUUCUCCAUUAUGCUGUUCAACAAUGUCCUAGGAUCUUCUUCACACAUAGGUAAAAAGAACUCCAAUACGUAGAUGCAAUUGUUCGAGCAAGAGCUCUGCAAACAAACUGCAAAACAGGCAGAGCACUCACAGGAUCGUGCAUUGACUACCAACGGGUACUCUGUUAUGCUUAAUUCUCUUAUAUCCCUACAGAAGCAUGCACUUUUGGAUGAGAAUGCUCUCCCAACUACCCCUUGUCCCUUCCGAAUAAAAUCCAAGCCAUGACGAGAACUCAGUAUUUCUCCAGAAGUAGUCCAAAUUUCAGUAUCACCACAACCCAGUCCACAUAUUUUCCUCACCUUCCUCAAUGCUUCGUCAAUUGUAGUAAUUUCUCCAGGUUGACCUGUAGAGGAAUGGCUUAAAAAUAUUAGCAUGGAAUGAAUAGCCUAAAGCUUCAGCCAAGAUUAUGCAGUAUAAAAGGAGAAAAAAAAAAUACUUGAGGUACUCACAUGAACUUGCUUCCGCGAGUCUUAUACAAGUAGUUGUCAGAUUCACCUCCUGUAUUAGAUUUUGACAAAUAUAUUAUACAUGCGCCUUAAAUAAAUUAAAGUGUUAUUUACAAGUUUCAAAGUGUUUGCUUUGGCUUUUAAAGACCGUUUGACAACAACGGAUUUGCACUAGAGGUGGCAAAAUGGGCGGGAUGGGCGGGAUUUGCUUGGGUUUGAGAUGGAACCGAGUCAUAUGGGUUUGGGCCCAACCUUACCCAUAUGUGUUUUGGGACUAACUUGGGCGGGAUCAUUUUGGGAUGGGUUUAGAUUGAUCCCGCCCAAUACCCAAAUCCAUUUUCUACAUAUUUUUUUUCCUUUAAUUCAUUUUUUUUAAUAUAAUUUUAAUAUUUUUGAUUUAUUAAAUUUCUUUUAGUUUUAUUAAAUAAACAUGCAAGUGCUUUAUACUCAAGAUUCCCACCAAAAAUUGGAUUAACAAAUAAAGGAAAAGAUAGAUAUACAGCCAUAUUCCAACAUAUAUCAAGAUGGCCAAGGUCCUUAGGAUGUUGAAUAUUUAUCCUUAUCAUUGUCCAAGGAUGACAGGUCUAAACUAACUGAAAUGCUGGAAAUUCUUGUGGAUAAUGACUAGGAAGACUACUAGAUUAUAUUCGCUGGUAUGACUAUAAAAAUUGUUAAAGAUAAUUUUUGAAUCUACGAUUCCGUUUGGAUUGACUUUUUUUUCAAAAAAUAAGUUUUUCAAAUACAAUGUUACAGUAAUAUACAAUAACUCAAGAAACAUCCCAUCCAUAUUAAUAUAUCAAAUAUUUCAAAAAAAAUUUAUAGUAAAAAUUUUUCAUAUACACUGCUACAAUAAAAUAUUUCAAAAACACCUACCAAAAACAGCUAAUCCAAACGGAGCCCUUGCCAUUUGAGCCCAAUGGGUACCCAAGUAUUUCCCAUCCUUUCCCAUUCAUUAAUGGGUAUAGUUGGGAUGUGUCCCAACUUAAACCCAAUACCAAAUUAUAAUACCCAUCCCGCCCAAAGUUCCUUUGGGCAUGGGUAGCCCAUUGGGACUUGGGACAAAUUGCCAGCUCUAAUUUGCACCCACACAAAAAAAAAGGGAAAAAACCAAUAAGACAGGCUCUUUGUAUGUUUACUCAACUAAUUAUGGUAUAGAAGUUCCGAAAAGCCAAAAGCUCCUUCAAACGCCAUAGAUUUUUUAGAAACAACUUCUUUCGCUUAAAAAAUAACUUAAAAAGAGAAGAUUAAUAUUAGAGUGACGGUCACCAUAGUUUUCGCAGUUAUAAAUAGUUAAAAAAUUGAUUAUUGACACAUUGCAAAAGGGACCUUUCAUUAGAUUAAUUUAUAAAAACACCUCUCCUACUACCGCCUAACAACUGAAAACAACAAUUUAUCCCCAAAUUUGUAAAGGACACGGAGAUAUACAAAAUUCAUGCCAAGCAUCACCCCUAUUCAGGUUAGAUUAGAUUUAUCAUGAAAUUCUUAUUAAGUGCCAAAUUUUGUUUGGUCCUGAGUUCAAUAAAAGCUUAAAUCACGAAUGUUAUGCUACCACAAAUCUUGCACUACAUAACACACAGGACAAUGGUUGGUUAUGUUAUAAAUUACCCCUGUAUGCAGCACCUAGUUCAAAUAAUAAAUUAAUUAGUUAUCUUUAAAUUAGUCAUCACAAACGAAUUACUUACGGCCUGGGUUUCGUCCUCUAAGUUCCUCUUUUUUGUAUAAGGGAGGGAGUCUGCACCCAUCUCAUAUGCAUUAUCUAAUUUAUUGAUAAAAAUUAUACUAAUAAUUAUAACUCAUAAAUCAUAAACACCACCACCAGGUCGUUGUUAACAAUAGGAAAGAAGUAAUUAAGCAACUUAAAAAGAGAAAAGUCGAACCUGAAGAUUCUCCAGAACCUGAUAUUGAGGUAAUCCGCUAAACUCAUAUGGUGAUACAAUUUCCAGUACACCAAUGGGGAGGUGCCGACUAGGAUGAUGAUAGAUUGGCAACGCCCAGUACUGGUCAACACGGCCGACCGCAUAAUCACGUUGAGGAUACUCUCUACUAGUGUAAUGACUCACAUCCCAUGCAUAUUCAGGCAACCCACUGCGGAACACCCGACCAGGGGGACCAAUCUCAUGAUCAUCAUCCACGGGUAUUAAGUACCCCAAACAGUGCUUCCUGUAUUCACAUAGUUUCUCGACGUCUUGAUCAUUGAAGUGGGAGACAUAGUAAUGGAGAGCAAAAGGCUGGUCACAAGUUGUCAAAUACGUUUUGUCCCCAGUUGUCACUAAACCCCAAAACUGAACUAGACAAUCCGGCGGAAGUGCGUCAUAAAGAAGUUCUAGCAAACGUAUGAUCUUGUCCUUAAUCACGGCACCGUCAGCAGCUGCAAUAGGAAAAUCCGUAAAAAAUAUUGGGUGCUUGCUAGUACUAUUGUACUGAUUUAUCAAUUGUACCAUUCAUAUGUACUCAUGAUCCAUCAUAAGCUUUGACCAAAUCGCAGUUUAGAAAAGUUCCAAAUUAUACUUUGAGAGAGCCUUCCAACAUAAAUCUACACAUCUGAUGAUGUAUCCGUGUAUAAUUUUCCCAAAGAUUAAUUGAAGAGCUUUAAGUACCUUCCAAUUGGGAGGCCCAAGCCUUCGUAUCUUUCUAACAAUCGUUUAAUUUGUCAUCAAACUAAUUAGUUACUAGAAUAGUCUAGCAAAUUUAAUUGUGAUAAAUAGUCCAACAAAAAUAUCCACAUACGUACAUACAUACAUAUGCUACUAGAAUUUGUCAUCAAACUAAUUAGUUACUAGAAUUGUUUGUGAUAAAUUUUUCUAGCGAAUUUAUUCCCCAGGAGUUUUAUCAGAGUCGGACUAUAUAUAGCUAUGACAAAUUUAAUUGCGAUAAAAAGUCCAACAAAAAUAUCCACAAAUACAUACAUACAUAUUAUAUAUAUAUAUAUAUAUGAGAGAUUAUUGGAAGAACUCCAUAAAUACUUACUGGCUGAGAGAUGAUGAGGCUUCCCGCAGCAUCCUUCGUCAUCGCCGCAUGUGCUCCAGAAUACCCACCAGUGAUAAAAAUUGUUAAAUGAAUGGGAGUAUGAUAGUUGACAAGGCGCCAAACCUUCCGUAGAAAAAGGAGGGGAGGGAGAAGUUUGAGCUUCCAUUAUGGCCAUUUGUAGUUUUGUACAGGAGAAAACUUGCUAUAUCUUCUGGAUCGAUCCCGUUCCCCGAUUCUCAGUUGCUUACUACUACAUCUAUUUUAUUUAGGGAUAAUUGCAGAAACCUCCCCUGAGAUUUCUGAAAUUUGCACUGACCUCCUCUAUAGUUUGAAAAAUUAUACUAAGCUCCCCUGAGGUUACUAAGCCUUUGCAAAUUCAGUCCAAACGAUUAAAAUAUUGUUUUAGGGAGUGAAAUUAGAAUUUUUUACCAAAUUUGUCAUUUGUACUACAUGUCCAAUGAAUGACAAAGUACUACAAAUCAAUAACAAUUAAUAAAUUUUAAGGAAUAUAGUUUAUGGACAAAUACGCAUUGCCUAUUUAAAAUACCGGCUCUUUAUGGGUAUUUUACUUUCAAACAUUUAAUUUAAUACAAAUAUUUACAUUUAGAUAUAGAUUUGUAUUUACUUUCAAAUAUUUAAUUUUUGUUAAAUACAAAAACUACCAAUCUCUCUUCCGUAAAAAUAUUAAUAUAACACUUUUUCAAUUUUAGUUACAAACAUUUAUGUAUUUAACAUAAAUUAAAUAAUUCAGAAUAAAAUGUCCAUAAAGAGCCAAUACUUUACUCAUGUAAUAAAUGAAAGCCAUAAAGAAUUAAUAUUUUCUGGGUCAUUUCUUUUUUUAAAAAAAAUAUUUAAUUUAUAUUAAAUAAAUAACUUACCGAUUUUCUUUUUGUAAGAAUAUUACUGUAACACUUUUUGAAUUUUACUUACAAACAUUGAUAUAUUUAUCAUAAAUUAAAUGUUUGAAAAUAAAAUAUCCUUAAAAAGUCGGUACUUUAAAUGAGUAAUGCGUGUUUGCCCAUAAAGAGCCGGUAACUAUUUAAAAUACCAGUUCUUUACGGGCAUUUUACUUUCAAACAUUUAAUUUAAUACAAAUAUUACGCUCAAAUACAGAUUUGUAUUUACUUUCAAAUAUUUAAUUUUUAUUAAAUACAAAACCUACCAAUCUCUCUUCCAUAAAAAUAUUAAUAUAAUACUUUUUCAAUUUUAGUUACAAACAUUUAUAUAUUUAACAUAAAUUAAAUGAAUAAAAUGCACAUAAAAAGCGAAUACUUUACUCAUAUAAUGGAUGAAAGUCAUAAAAAAUUAAUACUUUAUGGGUCAUUUCAUUUUUUAAAAAAAUAUUUAAUUUAUAUUAAAUAAAUAAAUUACCAAUUUCCUUUUUUCAAGAAUAUUACUGUAACACUUUUUGAAUUUUACUUACAAAUAUUGAUAUAUUUAUCAUAAAUUAAAUGUUUGAAAGUAAAAUACGCGUAAAAAAUCUGUAUUUUAAAUGAGUAAUACGUGUUUGCCCAUAAAUUAUAUUCCUUAAAGUUUAUUAAUUGUUAAUUGAUUUAUAUUACUUUGUCAUUCAUUGGAUAUGUAGUACAAAGGGCAAGUUUGGUACAAAAUUCUAAUUUCACUCCUUAAAAUAAUAUUUUAAUCGUUUGGACUAAAUUUACAAAGGAUUAGUAACCUCAGAGAGGUCAGUGUAAUUUUUUAAACUACAGGGGAGGUCAGUGCAAAUGUCAGAAAUCUCAGGGGAGGUUUCUGCAAUUAUCCCUUUUAUUUAUCUUCUGUAUAGGAAACUAAUACUGUGUGUUAUAUAUAUAUUUAUACACAACACACAGUCGAAGACUUCAAAGUCAAUGGUCGAAAAGGGACUGACAAGCGAAACAACGAGGAACCAAACAACAGCCAAAGCCCCAAGGGUUCAAACAGUUCAAUAGGUUCGAAAGGCUCAAAUUUCAACAGUUCGUGAAGAAGUUAGCUGUCGUUUAUGGGAAAAGAUUAAUCUCUGGCACUUUCCCCUAUUCAGGACCCCACAUAAGAUGCCUUACAGAUCGAGGAACAAAGUUGAUGCUCAUCAGGCCCAUACGUCACUAGGAAGUUGCGGCAUUUUCUUAUAAAAAAAUUUUUUAGUUAUCCUAAAACAUUGUGAGAAUUCAAAUAGUAAUUUCUAUUUUUUUUAAUAAAAAUUGAAGCAUGAGAAGUGAUCAUUAUCAAUAGCAAAUACUUGAAAUUGUUACUAUAUGCUAUUUGUUAUCUUGUGAUAAAUAAUAAUGACCAAAUAUUUUUAGUAAGAAAGUUAUUUGCCCACAAAAGGAAAUUUUUUAACACAUUAUUAUUAUUGAAGUUCAUACACAGAAUUAGGAUUAGAAGACGAGGAAAAAAGAUGUAAAAAUAAUAAGGAAAAAGGAGAAGAAGAAGAAAGAACAAUAAUGAAAAAAAAAAAUUAUUAGACACAAUCCUCAUAAUGAGGGCAUUAUUAUCUUUUUGCUUUGCACAUAAACAUGGCUUUAGAGAGCAAUUUAUAGGUUUUGAGAAAAGGACCGGCUAGAAGAAAUAAAAAAAAGCGAAGUAACAUGGAAGCAAGCAAAAGGCAAAAGCUAGAACCAAGAUGGUACAUGUGCAACCAAUAGGAAAGUGGUCCCAAUUGUUCAAUAGGCCAAAAAAGGUUCUACAUGGGUUAUCCGUGCAUAUUUUUUAGUCAAUGGAUGACUAGAGAAAUAGGACUGAAGCCAAGAAUUUUGCAAGCGAAACAACCUGGAACUGGAAGCAAAUCAAAAGCAAGAGCCGAAAGCGUCGUGAAAUUGUACACUAAUUAGGAUUUAACUCUUUAAGUGAAAGAGAUUAUUCAAUCUCCUAUGUUGGGUUCUUCAUAUCAAUCUCCCACGAAUUCCUAAGUCCGUACUUUCAACUUUGCAUAAAGAUGAAGUUGGUGGAUUUUGAGUUACUCCAUAAUGGAUGGCUUGAAAUAAGUUUGAAUUAGAAUCACCAGCUGUGAACCUUUAAUGAUGUAUGAUGGCCGUCUUAUUAUUACAAUAUUGGGUCUGGUGUAAGGUCCAAUUACAUUUGAAUAGCCCAUAAAUGGGGGAAAAAAAAGAUUGAGCCCUGAUUGGAGAAGAGGAGAACUAAGCGUCAAAAAAAGAUUAACAUAUUCGUUCUUUAGAUACACUAUCACGAUUGGAUGAAUGACAUAUGAAUAAAAUUUACAUUUCAAAUUCAAAUUUUAUACAUGCAUCAUAUAUCUAACAGUGGUAGUAUAUACACUGACAGUGUAUACAAGAUUAAUGGAUUGAUUGGAUGAGUUAUUGGGUUUUAAGUUUAUUUGUAGGUUUAGUCACUUGCAAAGUUUAUGUACAUGAUCGAUGAAGAAUUUCUCAAUGCUUUCAUUUACUUUUACCAUGAAGACUGGAACCGGAAGAACCGUAAGAAAGGGCAUCAUAGAUACGUAUUUUCAUGGACAUAUUUUCAAUGCAUUUUUUGUCACCAAAUGAUAGAACUGCAUAGCCAAUCAUCACUCCUUACCUGUUAUCAUCGGUUCAUACAUGUAUAAUACAUAUUUCGUGCUGUCUUGUGUUAUUAUUGGCUUCUAUUAUGUACACAUAUUUGCAUUUAUUGUUACCUUUUUUAAAAGGAAAUACUUUUUAAUUUUUAUUUCACUUUUUUCUGAAAAUCCCUCUCAAUGAAUGUCCAUUGGCACUUCUUAGAUAAAUCAAACAUUUUCUUUAUUAAUUUUGUGUAUUAGCAAUAAAUUUUUUUCUAAUGUUUUUGCUUUUUUGCUAGAUUUUUGAGCUAUUUUAAUUCUUCAAUAUCUAUUGCUAUCUCCUAUUUAGAUUCUCCUUAACAAUAUACUUUUGUUAAUUUUAAGUAAUCCCCUCAAAUCACAAAUUCCGAACAUCACACACUACAAAUAUGACUAACACAAAGAAAAAAUCCAGGUUGAUCCGAAGGGUUAAAAAAAACCGAUUUUUCACAUCACCAAUCCCAGCUGCAAGAAGUCUCAACAUUCUUGGGCAGCUUGUUUUGUUCUCGCUUGUUCCUUGCCGGGCUCUAAGGCUUUGAAUCUUAGUCUAGCCAAGGCAAUUCUCUUAGUGCUGGAUGUGGUGGAGGCUGUCAUUAAAGCCUUGGGUUUGCCAUUGCUUUUACUGUUUCUGUGAUGUAGAGUUAAUGCUCAGAGCUCGUUAUCUACCUUUGAAUAUGGCCUGCUAUAAUUUUAGCAGUUCCAUACUGCAAUACAUCCACGGUUUAUCAGCAACUUGUUUGGCACUUCGAGUGAAGAUCAAGGUGAAUGAUGACUAGGAAGGAAAUAGAGAGGUCUAUUGAAUUUAAAAUUAAUCAAAGUCUCUUAAUUUAUAGAUAGAUAAUUAUAUUUUUCAUAUUUUGAUUUAUUUAAAGUUUCUUAGUAGCAAAAAAUGGUUAUUUAUUAAAUGAGAAGGAUGAUAUGUAAAGGAAUUGUUGGGGCAGCAAUUUAGGAUAUGAAUAAAAUAUUUAUAUAAGCUCUUCAUUUUGGGUUACUGACUUGUAUCCAUGAUAGGUGGUUUAUUUUCAUGGUAUUAUAGUUUGAGAAGAAAAGAAGUGUAAAAUUAGAUUUUAAAAUCAUUUGCUUAAGUUGGUUCUAUAAAUUUGUAUUUUUAAUCAUUUUUGUUGUCCCUAAUGACAAUAUAAGCUAGAUGUAGAAUUGGGUAUAUCAUGACUAUUUGUCUGAAGGAAUUGAUAAAUUUUUAUAAACUCAAGUAGCUGAAUUGAUUACUGUUGUUAAGGAAUUGCAAUUGGUGGUGGAAAUUGAUUACUGUUGUUAAGGAAUCGCAAUUGGUGGUGGAAGUUAAAAUUGAGACUUUUAGCCUAGAGUGUGAUUCGACAAAAAAAAUUGUUAAAAAAUUCAAUCUUGAUAUUUUUGCUAUCAAACAAAUGGUUAGUUUCGAAUUUGUACAUGUACAUUUGCAAACAUGGCAGCUCAUAUUUUUAUCUAAUAAUGCUAUUUGUAUUCUCAAGCUUUUUGGCAGAUAAUGUUAUCACCUGUUUGUACUGCUAUAAAAAGGAUUUAAAUGGAUGGCAUAACAGCUCACUUUUUCUCUGAAAAAGACAAAAAAAAAAAAACAAUGUGUACAUUUGUAUGUUUUGAAAAGGAUAGAAAAAUGUGCAAGUUUGUAUGUUUUAUUGAUGUUAAAAAUUGUGACAGAUCUUGGCGACUUUCUAAACUUUUUCUAAUUAUUAAACUGCUAAAGUAUUAUGACUACUUUUGGUUUAGUCACAAUUAAAGUUAUGCUGCUAUUAAAUUGACAAUGUAGUGUACUUAUUAUCUCUCCUUUUUUGGGUAUUAUUAUGCACACAUAGUAUCGGUUUGAAAAUCUUUGUCUUAAUCACAAUAAAUAGGGGACUAACUUCAUAAAUGAAAUUUCUCUUUGUAGCAAAUUUUAAUUGUUUUGAUGCUCAAAUUUUCUCCUAUAUUACCAAAAAGAUGUAUUGCUCUAUGUUUAACUAAACUUCUAAGGGCAAAGCACAGCCAAAAUACCUCUAGUUUAACUACUAUAUUAUAAGAACGAGUUGCUUCUUACUAUAAUUAUUCCCCAUACUACCACUUGGCGGCUGCAAAGGAGAAGUUUGCGUUCGUUUUGAUGCCUUAAACGUUGUUCUUUUAUUAUGGGAUGGGAAUUGAUGGGAAGUGGGCUACAAUGUAAGGAUGUAGUGUGUCUUGGGCUCCAAAUUUUCAGCGAGGAAGCCCAGGCCCUUGGUAUGAAAAAAAAAAGAGAAAAUGGGUCCAACAAUUUUAGCAUUCGUUUUUUUUUUGCUCAUACAUGCAUUUUUAAAAGUAGACUUAUUUAAAAAUAAACAAUAUUGAAAUUUAUAUUUGAGUUUUGUUAUGAAUGUUGGCAUAUUUAUUAUUUGUGUUUUGUCUCUGAAAUUGUUACAUCCAAUAGUAUAUGUCAAUUUUUUUUUAACUGUUGCCUGCAACAAUUCCCCUGGAUAAGGUUUAUACAUAUAUAUAUAUAUAUAUGUAUAUAUAUGUAUCCUUUAGAGUUUAGACAGCUCCCAACUCUCUAUUCCUUUUUUGCUAGUUUUUUGAGCUAUUUUAAUUCUUCAAUAUCUAUUGCUAUCUCCUGUUUAGAUUCUCCUCAACAAUAUACUUUUGUUAAUUUUAAGUAAUUCCCUCAAAUCACAAUUUCCGGACAUCACACACUACAAAUAUGACUAACACAAAGAAAAAAUCCAGGUUGAUCCCAAAAGGUUAAAAAAAAAACCAAUUUUUCUGCACUUCCAGUAGCCAUCUUAAAUAUAAUUUAGCCAAGGAUUCGAUUUAGGGUGAUGAAACAAAACAAAAAAAAUUUUGCUGGAAGUUUUUUUUUUUCCCACCGAAACAUAAGUACUGUAAAAUUUUUAAUUUCAAAUGUUUAUUUUAAUGAAAAAGAAACAUUUUAUUCUACCGAUACUCUUUAUCUAGCCUAGAAAUCAUUCACUUAGUUUUUCUCAAUCAUAUCAAUACAAUCAAAGAAAUUAAUGGUUCUUAAUCAUACAAAACAAAUUGAAAUUUAAGUAAUUCGAGAACAUGUGGCAACUACAAUCCCAGAAUAAAUGUUAACUCAAACGAGGCAAGUGUGAUAAUGAUAAUAAUCUAGUUGCCACACCUUGGAAAGGGUUUCCUCAUUUAACUUCAGUUCAUUUUUUCAUUUGAAGCACUUUUAGUCAAAAUUGUCCACUUUUUUUUUUUUUUAAACCAAAGUAAAAGAAGUUCUAUAUAGUGGACCGGACACAACGCACUAGGAUCAUUGAAGUGUGGGAGGCAUCUUCUUCAUCUGCCAUAUUUAUCUAGUCAAUGAUCCUAAAAAUGCAGGUUUUUGGAAGCUACAGCAGACUAGAGCACCAUAGGCUUAAAAAAUAGAUUAAUUAUACAAAGGCUCAUAAAUAUGCUAUCACCUGACCAACAUUCUAAUUGUUGUCCUACCUAGUGAGCUUAACGUGCUCGUACAGGUACUCAAAUCUUCAUCACAGGCUAUCCAAAUCCAUUCAUUCUCCUCAUCCUGAUACUGAAUUUUAAAACUUCCAAUCGGUAGAUUCAAUCGUUGUGCAACUUUCUCCUCCAAGUUGAAUUUAUGGGCUGACAAUGGAAGUCUAAACUUCAUGGUGUCUCCUUGAUAUUCUGCUUUCACCCAGAUGCUACUAUCAUCUCCUAGCCUUGUUGUGUCUGGCCGGUGUUGUUCUGCAGUAUUUUCAGUAGAAGGCUGAACAACUCUCUGUUCAGCAGAGGCUUGAUUAACCUUUCUUGCUUUACGAGAUGGCCAUCUGUCAAUAUCACACUUCCUACAUAUACGCUUCAACGUAGAUCGGCUAACUGCAAGUAUCAGAAAGAAAGAAGAAAAUCAACAGAUUCAACACACUUUAACCAAAUUUGAAUUCAAUUCUGAUCUAGAGAAGAGCUACAGUUAAGAAUUACCUUGAAGAACUUUUGCAGCAUCCUUAAGACUCCUCCAAGAAUUUUGUUCAAUAUCCUCACGAGUAAUUCCAAGUUUGCUUUUUAAAGUACGACUUGACUUUCGCUUUUUCACAUUAGUCACUUCACUGUCACUCUGUUCAUGGAUAGCAUUCAUAGAACCAUUUGCAGCAUCAUCAACUUGUUGAGAUGAGAAAUCAAGGUGCAUCAUUCCUUCUCCUCCUUGUGCUUUUGCAAACCGGGGUGUAGAACCAGCACUUCCAUUCUGCUGUUCAUGGAUAGCAUUCAUAGAACCAUUUGCAGCAUCAUCAACUUGUUGAGAUGAGAAAUCAAGGUGCAUCAUUCCUUCUCCUCCUUGUGCUUUUGCAAACCGGGGUGUAGAUCCAGCACUUCCAUUCUGCUGUUCAUGGAUACCAUUUAUAGAACCAUUUGCAGCAUCAUCAACUUGUUGAGAUGAGAAAUCAAGUUGCAUCAUUCCUUCUCCUCCUUGUGCUUUUGCAAAUCUGGGUGUAGAUCUAGCACUUCCAUUCUGCUGUUCAUGGAUAGCAUUCAUAGAACCAUUUGCAGCAUCAACUUGCUGAGAUGAGAAAUCAAGUUGCAUCAUUCCUUCUCCUCCUUGUGCUUUUGCAAGCCUAGGUGUAGAUCCAACACUUCCAUUCUGCUGUUCAUGGAUACCAUUCAUAGAACCAUUUGCAGCAUCAACUUGCUGAGAUGAGAAAUCAAGUUGCAUCAUUCCUUCUCCUCGUACUUCGCCAAGCCUAGGUGUAGAUUCGAUACCGGUAGUAUUGCAGAUUUCAAAAGAAUCAUAUUCAUCCUUUGAAGAGAUCUUUAUAACCUCAACGGUCAAUUUCUGCCCCAAUUCUUGUCCUGAAGCAAUCAUAAAAGAACUUCCCAGGCAUUCUUUCAAUGUCUCCAUUAGGCUGUGCAACAAUGUCAUAGGAUCCCCAUAGUCUACUUUAUCUUCAUCUUCAUCUUCCCCAUAGUCUGCUUCAUCUUCAUCUUCAUCUUCCCCAUAGUCUGCUUCAUCUUCAUCUUCAUCUUUUUCAUUCAUAUGUAGAAAGAACUCCAGUACGUAAAUGCAAUUUUUUGGGCAAGGGCUCUGCAAACAAACUGCAAAACAGGCAGAGUACUUGUAGGAUCGUGCUUGGACUACCAACGGGUACUCUGUUAUGCUUAAUUGUCUUACAUCCCUACAAAAGCAUGCACUUUUGGAUGAGAAUGCUCUCCCAACUACCCCUUGUCCCUUCCGAAUAAAAUCUACACCUUCACGAGAACUUAGUAUUUCUCCAGAAAUAGUCCAACUUUCAGUAUCAGCAUAACCCAGUCCACGUAUUUGCCUCACCUUGCUCAAUGCUUGGUCAAUUAUAGCAAUUUCUCCAUCUUGACCUGUAGAUGAAUGGCUUAAAAGUAUUGGCAUGGAAGGAAUAGCCUAAAGCUUCAGCCAAGAUCAUGCAGUAUAAAAGAAGGGGAAAAAAAAAAAUACUUGAGGUACUCACAUGAACUUGCUGCCGCGAGUAUUACACGAGUAAUUGUCAGAUUCUUCUCCUGUAGUAGAUUUUGGCAAACACAUUAUAUAUGCGCCGUAAAUAAAUUAAGGUAUUAUUUACAAGUUUCAAAGUAUUUGAUUUGGCUUUUAAAGACUGUUUGACAACAACGGAUUUGCACCCACAAAAAAAACGAAAAAAAAAUCCCAAUAAGACAAGCUCUUUGUAUGUUUACUCUACUAAGGGAAUUUCGCCAAUUUGGUCCCUAAACAUUUUCACUUAAACCAAUUUCGUCCUUGAUGAAAUAUUUUAACCAAUUUAGUCCUUGAACUAGUUUUUUACUUUCAGGGUCUGUUUGGUUGGAUGUAAAAUGUUUUUCUUGGGAAAAUAUUUUCCGUGGAAGUAAUUUUCCAUGAAAAUCAUUUCCCUUUCAUCAUUUUCAAGUGUUUGGUUAGCUUAUUGAAAAUAUUUUCUUACUUCAUUUUUCUGGUGUUUGUUUAACUUUUGAAAUAUUUUCACUUUUAUCUCUAUCUUUACUUUCUACACAUUAUAACUACAUACUUCUUCCCAUGCAAAAUAAGAAAAUUUAUCUCAUUGUUUAACUUUAAAAAAUCUUGGAGAAAUGUAUAUAUGAAUAAAAAAUAUCUCCUUAAGCAAUAAACAAAUUGCUGGCCAUUUACUGUCAAAUAUCAAUCACAUGCAAUGCUUAUUGUGACAUAUAUCUUGCACUUUUACUGCUGAAAGCUUCUCUAGAAAAAAAUGUCCCUAUUAUACAUAAUUAAUUACUAGCAUAGGAUAAGCAGGAUGAGGUUUUUUAUUAUUUUGAAUAUACUAGGGGGAGGGUUGGGUGGUACGGGGGAGGGAGUGUAAGAAAGAGAUCUUGGGUUCGAAUUCUCCUGUUUACACUAAAAAAAAAAGAAAGAACAUACUACAAGAUGUUUUCAAUAAGUUGGAACAUACUACAGGCGGGAUGCAUGCAUUUCGGAAAACAACUUCAGUAAGUUUGGAAGGGAAGUUGUUUUCCAUAAGAUGAGUGAAAAUAUUUUACAUAGGAAAAUGUUUUCAGUAACUUUUGUGCAACCAAACACGGGAAAUUAGGAAAAUAUUUUCCUGAAAAACAUUUUCACCCGAAACAAACGGACCCUCAAUGUAGGACUUUUCACUGCAUUUUACUCAAUUUGCGUGGACCAACGGGGGUAUAAUUGUCACACUGGUUUAAUCUUUUGCAAUUAACCGACGAAACAAAUUAGAGAUGAUUACAAAAAGGGGGCGGGCAUUCUCCAGGGAAAAAGAAAAAAGGAGGAAAAGACAGUCGUGCAUGUUGUGAGGAAUACUGGGUCACCUGUUGCCGAGAGAUGCAUGCAGAUUAAUUAUCAGUUCUUCCUCUUCUGCAGUUAUAUUGCCUCGCUUCAAGUCAGACCUCAAGUAGUUGAUCCAUCUCAAUCUGCAACUCUUCCCACAUCUAAGUAGUCCUUCAAGCGAUCAAAAUGGACACAAAAAAGGUAUUAAUUCCAUACUCAAAGGCAGGCCUUGUUGCUGAUAUGAUAAUAAUGGAGAACUCAAAUAACUAUAACUUGGUGAAAUUGUUUGUAAACGAAGAUAGCAGUAUCAUGUGCACAGGGGUACUUGCGUUCUGAAACAAUUUAGGUAACAUCUUAGAUAGCAGGGGAUAGAUUAUUCUUCCCAUCGCUUGAAUCAUCAGAUCAGAUUAGAAUCAUUAGCGAAGCAAUGAAAAUGGUCUAAGAUGCAAUUACGACUAAGAUGGAAGAGGUGAAACAGGGGAAACAGGGGAUAGGCAAAAGGUCAAUAACCAUUGCCCAAACAGGAAUUCCCCUCUAGUAAACCUUACGGGACUGACUAAUCCCAGCAUUACAUCAGUAUGACUAUCAUGAAACCUGAAAUCUUCAAUGUCCGAGUACAUGAUCUCGACUGUCCACAAAUGAAAUUGUAAACCAAGAAUUCCAGCCGCGCGACCUGUUUAAGAGAUCUCGACUGCUUCAGUUUCGAUCAGCAUUCACUGUCCUCACCCCAAAAGCAACAAUGGAAGCCUCAGUCCGGAUACUAUUCAAUUCCUCCGCUCGCCAUCUUCCCAGCUCCCUUUUCCCUCUCCAAAAGCCGCUCCCUCUAAAGCCCUUUUCCACACUGUUUCCCUCUCCUCCUCCUUACUGUCGUCAUCAUCAUCAUCGCCCAAUUCCAACUCGCCACUCCAUUAUUUUCUCAAACGCCCACAUUCCCCACCACCCCUCAACAACCCCAUUUGGCUUUUCCCAUUCCCUCAAUUCGCCACAGUUUCUCCUCAGCUCAUUCUUCUCCACCUCAACCUUCUUCCGCAUUUUCUCUGACCAAAAAGCUAAAUCUUUCCACUGGAAUUACGCUCCUGAUGGAAUUCACCCAAGAGAAAAUGGGGUCAUCGGGGAUAAAGGGCCAAUCUUUGCUGCAGUUUUGUUGGGAUGGCUUGGGUCGAAGCCAAAGCAUCUGAGGAGGUACGUGGAGUUGUAUAAUUCGAGUGGUAUUCAUGCUGUUACCUUUGUUGCUUCUGUAAAAGAUGUGCUUUCGUUUGAUUUGGGGAAGAAUUUAGAAGAACGGAUUUCUGGGUUGGCAGUUGAGCUGGCUUCUUGGCUGGCUCAAUCAGAAAAAGAUGGUCGUGAAAGAUUCUUGAUUUUUCAUACCUUCAGCAACACUGGUUGGCUUGCGUAGGUUGAGUCUUUCUUUUUUGCAGACAUUUUUGCAGCCCUUAAUUCAUGACAACUUUUGCAGACCGUCUUUAAUCUCUAGAAAGUGGACGGCUGAACAAGAUGAAAUCUUGACCGAAUACAUGAUCUGAAACCUGAAGAAUAAUGGGAAGAGCCCCUUGCUGUGAGAAAGUGGGUAUAAAGAGAGGGAGGUGGACGGCUGAAGAAGAUGAAAUCUUGACCGAGUACAUUCAAUCUAAUUUGUUUCAUCGGUUAAUUGCAAAAGAUUAAACCAAUGUGACAAUUAUACCCCUUGAUCCACGCAAAUUGAGUAAAAUGCAGUGAAAAGUCCUACAUUAAAAGUAAAAAACUAGUUCAAGGAUUAAAUUGGUUAAAAUAUUUCAUCAAGGACGAAAUUGAUUUAAGUGAAAAUGUUUAGGGACCAAAUUGGCGAAAUUCCCCUCUACUAAUUAUGGUAUAGAAGUUCUGAAAAGCCAAAACCUCCUUGAAACACCAUAGACUUUUUAGAAACAACUUUUUUGUCACUUAAAAAAUAACUUAAAAAGAGAAGAUUAAUAUUAGGGUGACCGUCACCAUAAUUAUCCCCAACCUAACAAUUGGAUGCCACGAGUUAUCCCCAAAUUUGUAAAGGACAUGGAGACAUACAAAAUUCAUGCCAAGCAUCCCCUAUUCAAGUUAGAUUUAUCACGAAAUUCUUAUUAAGUGCCAUGCUACCACAAAUCUUGCACUAUAUAACACACAAGGUGACAAUGGUUGGUUAUGUUAUAAAUUACCCCUACAUCCAUGACCUAGUUCAAAUAAUAAAUUAAUUAGUUAUCUUUAUAUCAGUCAUUACAGUAAGUAUGCUGUGAAGUGACCGUAAAGCCGAGACAUGUAGUUUGUAACUCUCAUCAAAAUUCUGGUCGGUGGGGGAGUAAUUAUCCGAAAGAGAAACACAAAUGAAAUGAUGUCAACGAGAAUCAGAUUGGCUCCUUUUUUUUUUUUUUGAUAACAGAUGCUAAUUAUUUACGGCCUGGGCUUCGUCCUCUAAGCUCCUCUGUUUUAUAUAAGGGAGGGAGUCUGCACCUAUUUCAUAUAUAUCAUCUAAUUUAUUGAUAAAAAUUAUACUAAUAAUUAUAUAACUCAUAAAUGAUAAACAACACCACCCCCGGUCCUUGUCAGCAAUAGGAAAGAAGUAAUUAAGCAACUUGAAAAGAGAAAAGUCGAACCUGAAGCGUCUCCAGAACCCAACGUCGACACGGUUUGCCCCAAAAAUAUGAUGAUACAAUUUCAAGUACACCACUGGGAAGGUGCCGAGUAGGAUGGUAGAUUGGCAACGCCCAGUAUCCCAUGACACGGCCGACCGCAUAAUGACGUUGAGGAUACUCUCCAAUAGUGUAAUCAUCCACACGAGGUGCAUAUUCAGGCAACCCACUGCGGAAAACCCGACCAGGGGGACCAAUUAUAAGCUGCACUUGGUCAUCUUCAUCGACGGGUAUUAAGUACUCCAAACAGUGCUUCCGAUAUUCACAUAGUUCCUUGACGUCUAGAUCACUGAAGCGGUAGCAUUUGAGAGCAAAAGGCUGGUCACAAGUUGUCAAAUACGUUUUGUCGCCAAUCUUCACUAAACCCCAAAACUGAACUAGACACCGGCACCACGCUAUUGCUUCCAAAGCAAGUUGUAGAAACCAUUUGAUCUGGUCCUUAAUCACGGCACCGUCAGCAGCUGCAAUAGGAAAAUCAGUAUAAAAAAUAUUAAAGGGUGCUUGCUAGUAUAUAUGAACUGUUUGUUUCAUUUAUUUAUUGCAGAGUACUCUACUGAUUUAUUUAUUUACUGGUUUCGCCGAGACCAAACAAGUCAAAGAAAGGAAGUUAUGUACUCAUGAGUCAUGAUGAUCCAUCAUAAACUUUGAGCAAAUUGCAGUUUAGAAAAAUUCCAAAUUAUACUUUGACAGAGCCUUCCAACCUAAUUCUACACAUCUGAUGGAUGGAAUGUGUACCUUCGCCGCCGCCUCCUUUGUACCUUCCAAUUGGAUGGCCCAAGCCUCGGUAUCCGCAACGGAUCUUCUGUCCCACACUCUGUGUCACUCUCUGUCUCACUUCUUAUUAUAUUGUUAUUUCUCCUUCAUAAAGAUUAUGUUUUAAUUCUUUUUUGCUUCCGUAAGAUCCAAUAACUAUUAAUUGAGUAAUAAACAAAAUUUAACAAACUCAAAAAAUCAAAAUGCAUAAAAAAUGAGAUUUUUUAUGAAUUUUCUGCUAUAUUUUUUAAUUUUCUAUUAUAUAUUAUUUUUUUGAAGCUGUUGUAUUUAUUUUUUACUUAAUUAAUAGUUAUUGGAUCUUAAGGAAACAAAAAAAAAACUAAAACAUGAUAUUUAUGUAAGAGAAAUAGCAAUAUAAUAAAAAGUGGGACAGAGAGUGGCACAGGGUGUGGGACAGAAGAUCCGUUCCGCUUUGUAUCUUUCUAACAUCCAUAUAACCGUUUAAUUUCUCAUCAAACUAAUUUUUUUUCUCUUUUAAAUUGUUCAUGAAAAUUUAUUCCACAGGAGUUUUAUCAGAGUCAGACAAUAUAUAGCUAUGACAAAUUUAAUUGCGAUAAAUAGAGUCCAACAAAAAUAUCCACAAACAUACAUGUUAUAUAUCUAUGAGAGAUUAUUGAAAGAACUCCAUACUUACUGGCUGAGAGAUGAUGAGGCUUCCCGCAGCGUCCUCCGUCAUUGCCGCAUGUGCUCCAGGAAACCCACCACUGAUAAAAAUUGUCAAAUGAAUGGCAGUAUGAUAGUUGACAAGGCCCCAAACCUUCCGCAGAAAAAGGAGGGGAGGGAGAAGUUUGAGCUUCCAUUCUUGCCAUUUGUGGUUUUGUACAGGAGAAAACUGCUAUAUCUUCUGGAUCGAUCCCGUUCCCCGGUUCUCACUUCCUUGCAGCUACAUCUAUUAUUUUAUUUAUCUUCUGUAUAGGAAACUAAGACUGUGUGUUAUAUAUAUAUAUAUAUAUAUAUACACACACUCACAGUCGAACACUUCAAAGUCAAUGGUCGAGGUGAGAAAAGGGACUAACAGGAAGAAGUACAAACAAGCGAAAUAACGAGGAAGCAAACAACAGCGACGAAGGGUUCAAUAGGUUCGAAAAGCUCAAAUUUCAACGGUUCGUACGUGAAGAAGUUAGCUGUCGUUUGUGGGUAAAGAUUAAUCUCUUGCAAUCAGAUGCUAUACAGAUCGAGGAACGAAGUUGACGCUCAUGAGGGCCCAUACGUCACUAGCAAGUUGUGGCAUUUUCUUAUAACUAGGAGGCAAGAACCGCGCUCUGCGCGGUAGGAAUAAGAGUGCGAAUGCCCAGCUCAGUAGAACGAGCCGGAACGAUUAAUGAAGACAGUGAACGUAUAGUCUAAGAAAGGCGAUAUAAAUAGAAAACCAAAAAAAGCGGAGGUAGCAGCAAAAGUGCAAACCAACGGCACAAAGCUAAUUAAAGCACAGUCCUUUAACGUCUGGGAACUAAUCAAAAUGAACUUGAAACAGAAAGAACAUGGAGCUAAAUAUUAAAAUUGUAGUGCCAGGGAUACAUUCGUUCAUUCCCUUUCCGGUCGAAGAUGAUGAUGGAAAAACAGGAUUUGGAUUGGGGCAUGAAGAGAAGGACUUCGCCAUUUUGAAGUUCAUGGUCUACAACGAAUGUGCUCCAGUUUUGAUCAAACUUGGUCGCGGUCAUUCCAAGACUAUAUAUUCGGUGGCCACUAGUGAGAUUGAUUGUUGGAGUUUUUGCUUCAUGUAAUGUCGGGGAUAUAUAUUGCGGAAGGGCCUGUGAAUAACCAAAUAUGAGAUAUGACAAGCGGGGGGGGGAGGGGAACAAAGAACAGAAAGGCGUACGCUCACCAACGUGUAUCUAUGGCAUUCAGUAUAAAAUUGGUAGAAAGUAGUAGAUGCCGCGAGAUUAUGGCCGAAGAAUGGAUGUAUGGACGAUGUAAUACGAUCCGAGUUUUCGGCAGCCGCAAUAUCUGAAUGAAAAUCAAUUGCCUUUAGUGAACAUGAAUGUUGUAAAGCAUAAUAAGGAGAAAUAGUGGGGAAGAGAAUAAUUUCCUGGUUGAUUGUUUUUAUAAUUUUGCACCAUUGGUAAAGGUAGUGUCCACGGCAUCAGUGUGAGGAUCUGUGUUGUGCCAAAAGCAAGGCCAUCGAAGGUAAGAUUCCCUCUAUGUCGUAGGAAGAGCAAGUCAUAUUCGUGAAUUAGGUUGUCCGCGCAAUAGGAUUCCCAGCCUUGUUCGAAGCAGCCAUCAGCGAUUGUUACAUGCCAAACAGUGAUCCCAUGGUAUAACUUCAUAAUUUGGCCAUUUGCGAAGCCUGCUGAUCUAAAGAUAGAACUCGGAAUUUUCUGGGGGAGGGGGGAGGGGGUCAAGGUCCUCGAGAAUAUAGACGUUAUGGAAUGUGUACAAGUUUGAUAUUUUUUUUUCUUGUUCAUUUUGACAAGAUAAUAGACAAAACCUGUUUCUGUCGAUUCGAACACAUCAUAAUGUAGCACCAUGGAUUUCCUUUUGGAACCUCUUUCGUCAAAGGCUCGAGCUCAUCUAAAAAAAUUAUAAAGGCCAGUAGAAUCAUAUUUCAUCGUUAAAAGGAACAAAUUGCAGGCAUGACAUAAGAAAGCAAAGAGCGAACCGUUUGUUGCAAAAGCUUCAGGACUAAUAUCAAUGACAUUUUGCAACCACUGUUCAACCGAGGCAGGAGAGUACAGCGAGGGAUCGCCCAUGUAUUUUAAAACCAUUGGGUAGGUUCUAAAGAAACUUCUCUUGGGAGAACAUAAUGUCUUUCCUUGACAUGAUUGGAUAAUAGUUGCGGCGUGAACGUGAGAGCCGUCAAAAGUGCAAAGGUAGUAUCGAAUUUUGUCUCUGAGAUAUACUACUUUCCACUUCUUGAAAGGGUUUUUGGGUUUGGCCAUUACCAAGGUGGAAUGGAAAGAACAAUACGUAUAGAAGAGGCAAGAGCAAGGAGAAAGCUGGCAUGAAAAAUUACACGAAAUGCGGUCAAGAGGAUAGAUGCGACACUUUAUAGACGUUUAUGAUAACCAAGGUGGAAAAGGUGCAGGCUUAUAAUCAAUGAAGUUGGUGGAAAAAGUGCAAUUCAAUGGGGUAGUAAACGGUAGGUGUACACUGGCAUAAAGAAGAUUUAUUGUUUGGAGUAACUGCAAAUUUGACAGGUUUUUUUGGAAAAAAAAAUAGUUAGUUUUUUAUAGAAAUCUCAAUAACUAUUGCUAUCUGUCAUUACGUACAGAAAUUUCUUAGGAACUAAAUUUGCAAUAAACCCAGCUUUCCAACGUUUCAUUCCUUAGAUGCGUGGAGACCAAGAAAAAAAUAGCUACUUUUCUUGCAAAUUAAUUAGAAAAACUAUUUAAUAUGCAAAUUGUUUGUUAGUUUCGGACAAACAACUGCGCUAGUUAAUGAGUUAAAUAGAUAAUUAAUUGAUUAGACAAAUAAAAAAUAGCUAAGUAGUCAAUAAUUACUUAGCUAAGCAAGUAAUGUUUAAUUAGGUAGGUAUUCGAUAGGUAAUUAGUUUAACUAUGCAGAAAAAGGUUGAUUAGUUAAUAACAAAUAAUAAUUAGUUAAUUAGUUAAUUUGAUAAGCAGUUAGUAGUUUAACUGUUAAGAAAUAGAUUGAUUAGUUAAUCAGUAAUUAGUUAAGUAGCUAAUUAGAUAAUUACAUGAUUUACUAUCUAGAUGGUAGUUAAUUAUUUUUUUAGGAGUGAGUUACGUAGCUAAUUAUAUGAUUGGUUACUCGGCUAAUUCGUUACUUAAUUUAAUUAUGCAGGAAUAGCUUUAUUAGUUUUAGUUGUUUAACAAAUCUUUCAUGUGGUAAAGUCAAAUCUAGUAAGGGUACUCUAGUAACCUCUCCGCUGCCUUUCCUUUCAGCCACUUUUCUCAUCAAAAGCAUUCACACUUUUUCAAUGGGGGGGGGGUUGGUUCAAGAAUUGACAAUCGAGCAAAAGCAAGGGAAGUGAUUUGUUGGAGGGAUAUUGAGUAAAGGGGUGCAUUAUGACAAAAUUCACAUGCAGGACAACCUUCUAUUUCCGUGUAAGAUAGGCACAUCAUUUCGUAUAAUAGUAGGAAUAGCAAAACCGGGAGCAAUGCUGACCACCAAAGCAGGUGUUCAAGUGUGCCAUUGUUCCAUAAACAAAGUGUUUGUUGCUUAUAGUUGCCUGGCAUGGCUGCAUUGUCAACAGUCUGCAAUAAAACGUCUGAUAAGAAUCGCAACUCAACUGAUAGCUCAGGGAGUAAAGCAGGAAAAUAAGCAUAAUAACAAACGUCAGCUAGACAUGCUGGAAGCAGGCCAUAAAUGCAAUGCAAUUCAUGGCUCAGGAAGCAAAUAAGGAAAAUAAACAUAAUAACACAUGCCAGCUAGAUAGGCUGGAAACAGGCCAUACAUAAAGUGGCUUAAAUGUCUUUAAUAUGUUUCCAGCGACGGAUGGUCGACUACACAUUCAAGUGAGUCAAGUUUACACAGCAGACAACACAAUCACAAAAGAUGACCGGCCAAUAGCAGGAAGUGCAACGGCAAAAGACGUUCUUAUAAGGACAAAUAGACCAAGCAUUACUUGUUUUUUCGCAACCUGUGAAAACACAGGCUUCUGAUAUAGUAUUUAAUAAGGGCAUAUGCCUAGACAGGCCUAUAUAAUAGAGUAAGAGUAACGACAAAAGACUUCUUGAUGAGGGCAAGCAGAUCAAGCAUUCCUUGGUUUUUUGCUGCCCGCGACAUCACCAGAUUCUGAUAUAGUAGCUUCGGCAUCCUCGCUGAGUUCAAUUCUUUUUGCAAGGCAAACGCGUGCUUUAGAGGAACUACAUGGCUUGUCUGUGCAUGAAGCAAAUUUAUCUUUAGACAAAACCCAAACCAAGAUGGAAAAUAGGGAUUAAUGGAAGGGAUAGGAGAUACCUGAUAUGUUUAUAGCAGAAGAUUGAGUUGCUGGUUCAGGAACAUUUAGUUUCUUAUCUGAGCAGGAGUGGCUCUUCGAAAAAGAACAUGGCUUCUCUGUGCAAGAAAAAAUUAAAAAGGAAUCAAAAAAAAAAUUGUGAAUGAGUAUCUUAAGAAGUAUAUGGCUAAGCAUUUAGCAAUAACCCAGAGUAUCAGCUAUAGAAAGCUGACUGGCCACAUGAGAACUACUCGGGGGUUGUUCAACAAGGAGGUCAUGGUCUUUGGUGUCCUCAAAGUAGUAAACAAUUGUGUAUCGCUGGUAAGUCCCAUCAUCUUUGGUGUUUCCAGGCUUAACUUGAGCAAUGAAUGUCUUGGACUUCAGCGUGUCAUGAAUUAGUUCGAGUGGGAGUUCUUCAUUCUGAGAAUGAAUUUAGCGAAAUUGACAUGUAAGAAGCAGUAACAAAGGGAGCAUUAGUUCAUCAAGUGUAGUAGAAACCUUGUCAUAAAAAUUCAUUGCUGCAACUGCAGAAAUUCCAAGCAAUUGCUCAGCUAGUUCACCAAAUAUAGAGGCCGUCAUAACGCCGGUAUCAUCAGUGAGAUCGACAUCAAAGCGGCACCUGGUCCGAUGGAAAAAUACCAUGAAAAUAUUUAGGAAAUGCUUCAAAAGUACAGAUCAAUGCCUAGUAAAUAGGAAUAUGGAAAUUACCUUGGAGCUGCGGGCUGCCUCUCAUUACAGUGAUUGCAGGUAAAAGUGUGGCCAUAAUUGGCUGAUGUUUGACGAUGACACUUGACACAUGACAUAUACCAAUAUUUUUGGAAUAUGUUUUGGAAACAGAAGCGAGCUUUAACCCAGGCGAGCUGUGAACAUCAAACAAAUAAAAAACAAAAUGAUUUUUUUCUGUGUUCCCUGGUUGAUUUAAAAAGUGCAGGUACUUUAAUAUAAUGACCUUUUGAGCCGCCAGAACAGCUUGUAUAGUAGAAACCUUGGAUUUUGAUAAAUGAAACAUGCUGGGGCUGUGCAUGUUAUACGUCUUUUCCUGAGCCAGUGUAGCAAACUGGCUCUCAUUCCUCAUUGCCCUUCAGUAGAAGAUAAAAGCAGGUACAUAAAUAGCAGGUACAAUAUACAACUGAUAAGUCUGAAAUUGGCUGAAGGUGAAAAAAUAUGCGCCGAACGAACCAAUUUUUCAACUGGCUUGCAUCUCCAAUAGGCGGAUCAAUGAGAAGCACCGAAUCGUUUCUAGUCGAGAGCGCAAUUCCUGCCAGAAAGAGGAAUGCAAGGUACUUAAAAAUAAGGAAAAACAAAGAAAUAUGGUAGCAUGUAUACAAUUUGACAAGCAAUGACGUAAGGAUACCAUUAUAAGAGACAACUUUGAGCCUGCGACAAAUAAGAACUGGCCUCCUUUUUAGCAGUUGCAUAAGAAGUUUGCCUUCGGACUCAACAAACUUGUUCCAGAGAGACAGAACAAUUGGCUGCAUUCUGUUUUUAAAGGCAUAUGUUCAGUUGUGUAAUAAAUUACAGCAAGGGCUCAUCUUGCUUUUCAAAGUAUAUGGUCAGUUUUGUAACAAAGCAAAACACAGCAGCCUGUAUUAUUAAGCGACAUUUAGAAGAGAAGGUAUCAACUGCAGGAAAACAGUUUUUUUAGAAACUCACUCUUCGUUAACGAUGACAAACCGCUGAACAUACGAAUCGUGCGAUUGAAUUCUGAUUGGUUCAGUGGACUGUACAUCAAUGACCACUCCGAGCACAUCUAAUAUUGAGGACUUAGAAGAGUCAGCUAUUUGAAAGGAGCAUUUGAUGAUUCCAAGAAAUGUAGCAGUCAUGCAAUCUAAGGUUAGAAGAUUACCAACAGUUUCGCUCUUUGAAUCUACAAAGAGUGGGAAAUCUCUGAAAGGGAUGUAGUCAAAAUGAAAGGGCAAGACGGAGCCAUCUUCAUCAUCGUCCUCUUCAACAACAGUACGAGUGCUUAUAACCCACUGGAUGCUUAUACCAUCAAACUGGUAUUUCUUCUCUAGCUCCCUCACCUCAGCAUUAGAGAUGCGAUAUUUUUUAUACAGCUGUAGCUUUGGGCCCAUUUUCUCAAUAGCAUUGUUGAAAAGGAUUCCUUGGACUCUAGAACCCUGUCAAAAAAUACAGUACAGUAGAUCAGGUUAGUUUGUCCCCUUUGACGUAGGUGGAUUGAGAAAGAAAAGAAUUAAACAGACCUCUGAAUCAGAAAGUACAAAUUUCUGAUAUCUGGUUGGGCUGGUCUUGCCAGAACCAGGAUGCAUUUUUUCUUUUACAAAAACUUUGGCAGACCAAUUCUGCAUUUUUGGCUUGAUGUCAGCAAUUUUCAGGAACUCAGACAUCCUAGAGCGAGCAAAUAAAUCACUUAUAAGUGCCAAAUCCAAAACAAGUAGGUGUUAGCAUGCAUAAACAACAGAAGUUUAAAAGAAACAACAGGUAGACCACUAAGGAGACAGGUUAGAACCAAAUCCAUAACAAGUAAGUGUUAGCAUGCUUAAACGACAGAAGGUUAAAAGAAACAGCGGGUAGACCGCUAAGGAGACAAGUCAGAACAGCUCACCAAGGGGGAAAAUCACAUUUUAGCUAAUUGCAGGACCUCACGAUAAACAACAUUUCUUGUUUUGGUACAGGUAGCAGAAUCACUAUAAGUCGCUGGCACAAUGAGAACUUUGACAGCUGACGAAGUUUUUGCACGAGAAAGAGCAACGUAAAGCUGUCCAUGCGAAAACACGGGUUCACGUAAAUAAAUUCCCACGUAAUCCAAUGUCUGUCCCUGUGACUUGUUAAUAGUCAUUGCAAAACAGAGUUUAAUUGGAAACUGAGUCCUCUUAAAAGGGAUUCCAUUUUUCUCGUUAUCAGCUGACUGAAGCGGAAUCCUUGGGAGCAACACUGUUUUUCCUCGGUGCUGUCCAACAGCAAUUUCAGCACAAAUUGUAUUUUGUUUGAGUUCUCUACAGAUGAGGCGAGUUCCAUUGCAGAGGCCUUCAGCCGGGUUGAGAUUGCGUAUCAAAAUGACAGGACAAUUGUUCUUUAGGAUUAAUUUAUGAGGAGGGAGGCCCUUUGGAUUUAAAGAGUUAAGGAAAUCUUCGUAAUCUCCUUGAUCUCGCUCGUUAAGUGUCCUAUCAGUGCUUGUAUACGUAUAAGGCUGACCUGGGAAGCGAUCAAUUAUCGUCUGAUUUACAUCAUCAACCGCACUAUUCAUUGCGGAGAGAAUGCACCUAUUUAUCAUUAGAUAGGGGUCGCAGGAAUAAAUCCGCAAGUCCGAAAACACUGAGUCUAAUAACCUGUGUGAUCAAGGUUCGAAGCACAAAACAUAUUAUUUUAUGCAGCAUAACCCAUGAUACGGUGUAUUAACACUCAUGUAACGACUAUCAAGCAACACAAACUGUAAUAUAUAUAUAUAUAGAAGUUGCAGGUCAGAACAGAACCUGUCAAGAGAGCUGUCCUUUUCGUCGUAUGGUAUCAAAAUGUCAUUGUUCAGAGAUAUUUUCCCAUCGAAAUCUUCUGGUUCAGUUCCAUCUCCCACUCUAAGGAGAAAAUCUGAAAACGGUUUGUCUAAAAGAGCUCGCAUAUUUUCUGUUAGAGUGACCUUCUGUAAACUGCUCCACAAAGCAGAGUUAACAAAGGUGGCCUGAACCUGAAUAUCCCUUGUUGCAUUUUGAAUAACCGGGAGAGUUUGACGAAAAUCCCCGCCAAAGACCACGACCUUACCGCCAAAAGGUUUAUCGCUAUCCAUGAUAUCUUUGAGGAGCAGAUCGAACGCUUCAAUGGUGUCUCGCUUUGCCAUCGAAGCCUCAUCCCAUAGGAUUAACUUAGCCAUAACAAUCAAUCUAGCAGUCGAGCUUUGCUUACUAAUUUGGCAAGUUUUAGCAGCUGAUGCAUCAAGAGGGAUCUUAAAGCGCGAAUGUGCAGUUCUUCCCCCAGGAAGAAUAGAGGCUGCAACACCGGAUGAUGCAACUGCUAAGGCUAUAUGACCAUGCGUCCGCAGAGUAGCAAGCAAAGCACGAUAUAGGAAGGUUUUACCGGUUCCCCCGGGACCAUCGACAAAGAAACUAUUGCCAUUAGGCGAAAAGAUCUCAGCCAUAAUGGCACUAUAUGCAGCUUGCUGACCAGUGUUCAGCUGAGAAACAGCCAGCAAAUCGUGCUCUGAACAGCGCACGGUUUGCUCACUUUCGAUUUCUUUGGUUAUGCGUUCAUGGUCAGUAAAUAGAAGAUGAUCAGGAACAAGACGGUAAUCACUUAUGUGCUUACCCAUCUGCUCCAAUGAUCUAUUUAUGUCCUGUAGCACGUACCUCUUAAUAUAAGUAGAAUCACAGCCGGUGAUAGAGGCAGUUCUUGCUAAAUCACUGGAUAAGUCAGCUUCGUACUUCUCCCAUAAACUAAUGGGAUUGGAAGGAGUGCAAAAAACAAGUAACAUUGCAAACAAGGCUCUAAGUGAACAAGGCAUGUGGAAUGUAGCGGCUUCAUCAAGAGUGUCUUCUAUGUAGGUAUCAGACUGGAGCAGGCCCAUUCGAAAGGCAGCUUCUCGAAAUGAAGAUACAAGUUGGCCAUCGACUCUGAGAAGGUGGUUGAAUGAUCUUGGCGCCCGGACAUGAGAUAAAAGCAAUCUUAGAAAAUAUCGUUCACCCUCAUUGGGACGGACAGUAACCACUCGGCCAAUUACUUUCCUACGCUUUCUGCGAGUCCAAUUUCUCUUAUCAGCGUGCCAAACAAAAUGCCCUGGAAACUCUCGAUAUAGGCAUUUCAGCUUGCGCGCUUGUUUACUGCGCCUAUUCAUGGCAAAAAAUUCAGUCAGCAUCGUUUUAGCAAAAUCCGAACUAUCAACCAGAUCUGACAAAUCCGUAUUCUUGUGGAAAGAAACAACUUGUUCUCCUGGAAGAUGGAGCUGAAGCGUGUAAACGGAAGGCGUCAUUUCAUUCAACGGGAACCUAUAAAUGCGCCACAUUGCUUCAGCUGCUGAUACCCAUCUAGCAGACUGAAAUUCAUGGAUCUCAUCGAUGGUUUCUGGAUCAUUCUCAGAAUGUAUAUGAAAACUCACCCGAUCGUGUCCCUUGUAGACAUAUUUGUACAAGUACUUGACCAGUUUAACAGUGGAACAGAUUUCGACAUUUAAGUGACAAUCUAUAAGAGCAAGAAGGUAUGGAGUGUAGGGGACAACCCACCUAUUGUCCAAAGAAUGGUUUCUGACCCUAACAGAUCUGCCAUUUUUCCUUCGUCUAUAAUGCGGGUAGCCAUCUUCAGAAUGCGUAGUAUGCUCAAUAUACUCCUUCGGAUAAUGAUUUUUACACACUCCAUUCUGCAUACAGACAUUUUCUUUGUUCAGUGAUCCACAAGGACCGUGCAUCAUGUGUUUUAUAACAAGGGAGUACAAGUAACUCUGUUCAUUUGGGUCGGGCAGCUCAGCAGAAACCAUUCUAUCAUAUGCCUCUGGGUUCAAUGGUUUAGCUUCUGGUUUCAAAAUCACAAGCAUGUGGGCAUGAGGAAGGCCUCUUUUCUGGUAUUCAAUUACAUAAACAAAGGCCGCCACUUCACCAAAUAGUUUUUUUUUAACUAUCUCAGUUUUAAGCACCUCAAACUUUGCCCGAAACACCCUAGCAACCAAAUCUGGCCUAUCCUGAGGUUCCUCAUCAUACUUCAAGUGAUCACGUAUCUCUUUCCACAUUGUGUUACAGGUCAUAGUCAAGAACAGGUCGGGCUUACCAAAUUUCUGCACCAAAGACAUAGCAUCUAGGUACCUACGCCUCAUAUCCCUUGGGCCACCAAUGAAAGAAGCUGGUAGAUAUAUUCUACGACCAACCUGGUUCCCAGUAGUACAGCCAACAGACAUGCUAUCAAUGACUCCCUUAAGGACCUCGGAUCUAAUUUCGUUCUGUUUUUUCCUAUGAAAAUUAAGCCUUGACGUCUCGAUCUUAACAUAUACAUCAACUGUGAAUUGCUGUAACAAACGCCUUGCGUGUAACAGCAUCGACAUGUCAUUAUUUCUCAUCUGAAAUUUAUAACAGUAAUACUCUCUGGCAGACACAGUGUCUCGUUUUGUUUUCCCUUUUUCGGCAGCUGGGAAAAAAUAUAAAAGGUACAGCAAGCGUUUUUAAUAGGAGGAUCAAUAGUUAGUCAGGAGAAAGCCUGUUUUAAACUUGUUUUUAUGAGCAGGAAAAUACCUGUUUUUUCGAGAUCAAUCAAUUCAGAAGGUCCUUCUAUCAGGGAAACAUCGCUCAGCAUAUCAUCCUCAUCAAUGUUCCUUUUUUUAGGACAGGAAACAUUUUUUUUUGGAAUACCAUGAUGCCAGCCAGAUUCCCCACGAGGGAACAAGAGCGGAUACUGCAAGGGGUCGUAACAAGCAAAAUAAUGUUGUAUUCUAUGGCUGGAACUGGAAUGGCUGUACACCUGAAUGUGAACAUUUUUCUCGAGAUCUUUGUCAUCACUCUCGGUCCAAAUUGCAGCUACUUGAGAAGUAGCUGGAAGAUUGUAUACCCGCUGAUCCAAUCCUGGAUCAGAAUUCAGCACGAUCCGAUGUCUUUCAAGGUGAGGAACUUCACGAAGACUCCUAAAGAACUUGGUAUAAGGAUUUCUCUGAAGUGUAUGAAUUAAAAAUUUAAGAGUGUCGGCUCGCAAACGGGGCGAGUCUCGAAGUCUCAUUGUCACUUCAUCAUCGUAGUCAUAGAAUAGCAACUGAAUACCCGUAGGAGAGGGGGCUGAAGGCACGAUGCUGUUAAGGAAGUGAUAGACCUGACCUUGUACACGAAAGGUGUAAACCCCGCGGCUAUUUUUUGUGAGGUUCCUAUCAUAUUUUGCAGCAAAAGUAGUGAAAGCAAGAUUGUUAUUAAUAGUGCGAAUAUUCCUGCGAAAUUCAGUACUUUCUUCGUCCGUCCCAGUGAAAAGACGAAUUAGAUCAUAAGGCAUUGCAUGCUGCACAAUCGAAACGGCCCCGUUUGAACAACAAAAACCUGGAGGUUCAAGGUAAAACCUCUUAGCACCACAAUGACGGCAACAAGGGACGUCAGGAAGGGUCAGCGGUUUAGAUGGAAUCUUUUCUAAACGAGAUAGCCGCGUGGUGUUAGGUUUUAUCCGCUUGGCAGAUUGAACGGCACCUGCUGGUUGCGAACUAACCAAGUUACGUUUAGCAGGUCUGGCCAAUGAAGAGGCAGGAGGAGUAGGAGAUGUGAAGGGAGACACUUCUUUCGAGUUGAUAGUGUCACGAGCUGAUAAGUACGAAAAAAAAGAUAAAAAUAGCAGAAAAGCGGAAAAAACACAAGUUAAGUGCGGUAAGGAUUUCGCUGAGUAGCAGGAGGAUCAAUAAAUGAGAGAGUAAAAAAAGGAGGAAGAAGAGUUUCAAUGUGGCUGGACUGCAUAAGUGAAUAGCUGUUCGAGAGAAAAUUAUACCUCCAUGAGGUAGUAACGAGUCGCGAGGGGAAGAAGUAGGAGGAGGUGAUUGCUGAGACGAAAUAUAGGUAGCAGUAGAUGAUUGAAUAUCUGUAGGAUUGAGCGGCUGGUCGCUCGAACUUGAUAAGGCAGAACAGCUAGAAUCAAGUCUAGACCUAGAAGGAGACCUCCUAUUGGCUUGUUCGGACUGCCUAUGAGGACACACAAUCGAGGGAGGAGCAUGAACAGAAGAGGACCGUAUUUUCUGAGCAGCGUAUUUUUCUCUCCGUCGACGCAACAUUGCAUCUUUUAAAUGUUGCGGCAUAUCUGCAUAGCGCUUGCGUCGAGCCGCAUUACGAUUCAUAACGGCAGGAGGAACGGAAAAAGGCGGAUUGGUCCUUAAAAGGCUAGCGGCAGGACGAAAAAAAGAAGCAUGAAAAAAUAGCUGAACUAAAGGCAUAGAAGUAAGAUAAAGGUUGCUAAGAAGUUCUGUACAACAGGUGCAUAUCUGAUAUAAUAAUAACAGAGAGGCUAAAAGCAGCAGGAACAUGAAAUGAAAAGGAGGAAAAAAACGAAUUCUAUACAACAGUUGCAUGUCUGAUAUAAAAAAUAGCAAAGAGGCUAAAAGCAGCAGGAACAUUAAAUGAAAAGGAGGAAAAAAACUAACAAACUAUCACCCAAACAAGCCAAAGGAAAGGGAAAAGAAGGUUAAUAACAAGUAAAUAACAAGAAAAAACAAAUAAGCAGAGAAGCAAGAAUCAACAAAUAACUACGAGCUAGACAGCAAGCGAGAGCCAAACUAAAAGCAAGCAAGAGACAUACUGGAAUUCUUAAACAAGGUGUAAAGAAUUAAAGGUUAAAAUUAGUAAAAGGGCUGUAGACUCAUAGUUCUGCUGGGAAUAGAAGCGAGAUCGCAUAGUGUUUGGGGGGGAAUGCAGAGAAACGAAACAUUGGAGCUUUUAAAAAGUAAAUGCAAAACAAGGAACAAAACAAGGGGUUCUGCAUGGCAAGUACAAAAUGGCAGAAAGAACUCAUAAGAAAGUACCUCAAGUCAAAACAGGAGUCCGAAAAUGAGUAGAGCGCAAAGGAACCAAGCUUGAGAACUCUAAAGGGACAGCUGAGAAGGAACAAAAGAGGAGGAACAAAUGGAAUAGAAAGUUAGACCCAUUCAAAAAACGGAAGGAAAGAAGAAAAAGCGGGAAAAAGUGAUAGCAUGCAGCCAUGCAAAAAAAAAAAAAGAAGGAGCGUAGUUACCACAGGAAGGCGCAGCUGAAGAACUCACGGAAGAGCUUCUCGGUGGAGAGACCAAACGCAGCAGAUAGAACAAAGACAGUGAGACUGACGCUACUAAUGAGAGAUAAAGAAGAAGAAAGAAGCUAACGUAAAAGAUAUGAAUAAAGCUCACCAGUAUUGGGCAACGGACAGGCUUACAUACCCUGAAGCAGACAAUCCAGCCGAGCACAAAUAUAAAACCCAUCGGUAGCAGAGCUCCAAAGUGCAGAGGUUCUUUUUUGUUGCAGCAAGUUGACAAAUGUGCAGAUACGUAAAAAUGGGAAUUUUUUGAAAUGCACUUAACGAGAAGUUCUUUGUAAGACGGCUAUAUAGCUGAAAAUGCUUAUUUGCAGUUGGAAAAGAAAGUACAAGUUGUUUUCUCUUUUGAGGGACACCUAAAGUAUAUCUGAGGCGCAUGUAAGAAGUUGAAAAAGAACAAGUCAGCACUAUCUAUAGAAAGAUUGACUCCGUGCAUGUGACAUAGGUACAGGCCAACAGGACCCCACCCAAUUAGAUAACUGGAUUUAAUCCUAUUUGAGGGAAGACGCCCCCCUCCUGGUUUGAUGAUUUAGAGGUGUUGGGAUGUAUGGAUUUAUUUUCUUGGCGAACAAAAAACGUACACGUAGCACGAAGGGAAUUAAAAAAAGAAGAGGCCCCGAGUUCAUGCGGCACAAGUUCGAAACUGGGGGAAUGGUUUUGAAUAGCUGGAAAUUACAUUUCGGUUGUUUGAUAGGAAGCAUAGCGAUUUCUACUAAAGGCGAAUGGUCUGAAAGAGUCAUGUUUUAUUAUAGCAAACAGAGGAAAUUAGAUUGUGCGGACGAAAACAUUUCGAGGGGGUUUUAAAAAGGGAGGGGGGGGGGAGAUGCCGCAACGAGUGUGUUUACGAAAGAUAGAAACCAUCACAUUACAAAAGCAUUUAACAACUGAUAAUUGAAAAAGGAUAGCCUAAAAGUAUAAAACUAUUAUAAGCUAAGGGACACGCUAAUCUAUUACAGGUAUAGUUUCGCCAGCCCAGUAGGAUGUAACAAUAGUAAAGCUGACUCCGGCCAAUCGAACGGAUUCAGGAGAACGGCUAACAUAGCAGCACAAGACCCUUCCAUCGAGCGCUUUGGCAACCCGGAGGUUUAGUGCAACACCCUACAUAAAACAGCAGAUUUUAGCAAAACAAAUGCAGCUCACAGAAUAUGUAAGGAACAGGAAUUCACAAACAAGUAAACUGAUCAAAACCUCAUGUUCAGCUUGACUAAGCUGGUAUGCAGUGAAGCCUAUCAGUUUCUCAGCCUCAUAACCCAAGGCAAUGACACUGAUGGAAGCAGUACCAUCAGUAACAACUAACUUAACACGUGGUCUGAGUGUAAAAUAUAAGUCAAUUAGUAUUAAAGCAAGUAAAAGCGUACAGCAGGACAAAAACAGCAGGAAAACGUAGCCACUGAGUAGCAUGGCCGCACCUAGGAAAGACAUAGAGAUCUUUAAGACAGGCAACACAAGAAAUUCCCAGAGUUUCAAUGAAGUUGUUGGGUGCGAAGCAGUAGGGGCAGGCCAAGUGCCAGAGCCGAUGCAAGCGAUCAACAGAAACUUGAUAGCAACAAACGAUCGUGAUAGCAAAAGGGGGGGAAAAAAAGCACACUUCCCUCCAACGCAUCAAUUAAGCAGAAUCCAAAAAAAGACAAAAGCUUUAUCAAGCAACAACCAAAAUCAGCAAAUUUUUUCCAACCGGAAAAAGAAACAGAGUCACAAUAGGCAGGCCAAAUAAAAUCCCAAAAAAGGAAGCAGAGCAUAAUAGCAAAAGGGUCAAAAGGGAAGCAGACUAUCCUACAGUUAACGAAUAAAAAAAUAUUAAAAAGGAUAUCUAGGGAUAGGAAAAGAAAUUAAAUGCAACAAACUCCUAACCUCUUGUAAUUAAUCACAUUGCUAACCAUAGCCACUUUUGUUUCAAACAAAAAAUCAUCAGAAAGCCGAAGUCAUUUUAACACCGUUUUUUUGAAGUUAAGAAUUAGUUCAACACAAAAAAAAAAACAAAAAGAAAAAACUCUGGACCAACUCUGUUUUUUUUGUUUCAUUAAUGGCAAGCAUUAGCAAUAGGAUUAUACAAACGCAAGAAUAGCCAAGGAACGAAAUCGAAAUCAUAAGUCAAGAGCAGGCGAAAAAAGCAAGCUCAUCCCAAAAAUCAAUAGUAGUGUACAUUCCACAGGAUCGAAUUUUUUAAGAAAAUGACACCGUAGCUGCAGAAAAGAACCACAUAAAUAAAAAACAAGUAAAGGUAAUCAAGCCUCACCAAGGUAACCCGCAGAAAAUUAAGUAUAAGAGACGCGAUAGCUAAAGGGCAAAAGAAAAGAAGACUUUCAUCUAAUUCGUGGACUAAACCAGAUUACAAAAAAAAGAAAGAAACUUUAUCAAACAGAAACUAAAAACAUAAAGACUCCAACGCGUCAGUUAAGGAAAAUCCAAAAAAGACAAAAGGUUUAUCAAGUAACAACCGAAAUCAGCAAUUUUUUUCCAACUGGGAAAAUAAACAGAGUAUCAAUAGGUAGGACAAAAAAAGGCCCAAAAAAUAUCACAGAGCAUGAUAGCAAAAGGGUCAAAAAGGGAAGCAGAUUCCCCUCGAGUGCAUGUAUUUAAAAAAUAUCCAAAAAGGCAUCCAGGGAUAGGAAAAGGAGUUAAACGCAACAAACUCCUAACUUCUUGUAAUUAAUCACAUUUCCAACCAUAGCAACUUCCGUGUCAAACAAAAUUCACCAGAAAGCCGAAGUCAUUUUAACACCCUUUUUUUGAAGUUAAGAAACAGAUCAACCCCCUAAAAAACAAAAAGGAAAAACGCCAGUUCAUCUUUGUUUAUUCUGUUUCAUCAACGUCAAGCAUUAGUAAUAUAAUUGUACUAACUCAAGAACAAUUAAGGAAUGAAAUCGAAGCUAUAAGGCAAAAGCAGCUGAAAAAGCAAGCCCAUCACCAAAAAACAAUAUUAGUGCACAUUCGACGGGGCCAAAAAAAUAUCACAGAGCAUGUUUUGAUAAAGGGUCAUAAAGGGAAGCAGAUUCUCCCCAAGUGCAUGAAAUUUUAAAAUUUCAAAAAAGACAUAUACGGAUAGGAAAAGAAACUAAAUGCAACAAAAUCCUAACAUCUUGUAAUUAAUCACAUUCCUAACCAUAGCGACUUCCGUGUCAAACAAAAUCAAUCAGAAAGCCAAAGUCCUUUUAACACCAUCUUUUUUUGAAGUUAAGAAGUAGAUCAACCCCAAAAAACAAAAAGGAAAAACUCUGUAUCAAAAUUGUUUAUUCGGUUUCAUUAAGGGCUAGAAUUAGUAAUAGAAUUGUACUAAUUGAAGAACAGUUAAGGAAUGAAGGUGAAGCUAUAAGGCAAAAGCAGGUGGAAAAGCAAACUCAGCCCCAAAAAACAAUAUUAGUGCACAUUCCAUAGGACCAAACUAAAAUAAAAAAUGACAAACUGCAGCUGCAGAAAAGAACUACAUAAACCGAAAACAAGUAAAGGAAUCAACACUCACCAAAGCAGCACUUAGAAAUGAGACUUCAGAAAGCCAAAGUCCUUUUAACACCAUCUUUUUUGAAGUUAAGAAGUAGAUCAAACCCAAAAAAACAAAAAGGAAAAACCCUGUAGCAAAAUUGUUUAUUCGGUCUCAUUAAGGGCUAGAAUCAGUAUCAAAAUUGUACUAAUUGAAGAACAGUUAAGGAAUGAAGGCGAAGCUAUAAGGCAAAAGCAGCUGGAAAAGCAAACUCAGCCCCGAAAACAAUAUUAGUAUUAGUACGCAUUCCAUAGGACCAAACUAAAAUAAAAAACGACAAACUGCAGCUGCAGAAAAGAACUACAUAAACCGAAAACAAGUAAAGGAAUCAACCCUUACCAAAGCAGCACUCAGAAAUUAGACUGCUCAUCCAAGAGGAAAACAGAUUUCCUUGCUAUUCAUCAAAGAGCUCGCAUUAAACGGAGCAGUAUAGCUGAUUCAUCAAAGAUAUCCCCCUUUAUCAAGCAACAGCGAAGUAAGCAAAACUCAUCUGAAUGAAAAGAAAGCCAAAUCAUACAGAGAUAGGCAACGGCAACACACCGAGAACAGAGAAUAAGAACAAAGAACAGAAAAGCUUAUUUUUCUGGGCAAUGGGCAGCUCCUUUUAACACCAAAAAGAGGGGGAAAAACCGAAGCUAACAAGGACAAGAUAACCCCAGGCGAGAGAAAAAGCAGAAGGGCUGCGUU
rnacentral:lncRNA from 1 species